rnacentral:lncRNA from 1 species
UAAUUCAUUUACUAGCAUUACAAUGCUUUUGGUUUGCAUCUUCUUACUCUUUUUAUCACUAGCCUUUGCUGCACAAGACAGCAAAGUUGCGGGAUACAACCCUUUCCUUAGAAGGAUUUGAACCCAAAUCUCUUAUAGAUUGGAGUAAAGGGUGUGACAGAAGGAGUCCAUGGAAUUGCACACAGGACCACUUCCAGAAUUUUACAGGGCUUAAAAAACUGCAAUUGCACGGCAUAUGCAAAUUCAAAUAUCACAGGAGAAGGCAGUGGCUGCAUACUCUGGUUUGGUGAAUUGGUUGAUAUGAGAGAGUUCAGUACUGGGGGCCAAGACCUCUACAUAAGGAUGCCACCACCUUUGAAAACAGGUAUUUAUCAAUAUUCUUCCCAUGAUUCUCAAGCAGGGUAUUCUUUUAACUCUUUCUCUCUGUUUCUUUUUCUUCUUUUUUUUUGAAAUGAGGAAGUUGUAUGUUCCUUAAAUGUUUUCCUAACUUCGUGUCCUCAAUUCCUCAUUCUAUUUACAAAUACAACAGAACUCCUUUCUGUGUUUAUUGUGGGUUUUCAGAUCAGACGACGUCAAACACAAAUUCUGGUAAGAAGAAGCUUUUAGGAAUCAUACUCGGUUCCACAGUCCAUGCUGGAGUGCUUAUGGGAGGAAUAGCCUUCUAUAUAUGGAGAAAGAAGCAGAGAAAGCAAGGUAGUGUACUUUAGACAAUUCUUCUUAUUCCAGAACAUGGACCUUGUUGAUAUAUAUAGUAUGCAUGAUAGAUUACUAAUAUUGUAGAAUUUUAUGUUUAACAUCGAUAACAAAAUGAAGCAUUUGUUAGAUCAUGUUAUUAGUCAAAUUAGCUUUGAGAAGGAGAAGCUGUUCGUUUAUCAUUACUGACAACUAAUCAAUCUUCUGCUAUUCAGAAAUAGAGGAAGACAUGGAGUUACCAUCGUUUCAUUUGGCCACCAUAGUGAAAGCAACGGAUAACUUUUCAAGCAACAAGUUGGGACAAGGUGGUUUUGGACCGGUAUAUAAGGUAUAUAACAACGUGCUUCAAAGCUGAGAGAUCAUCUACUAUGAGAUAUUCUAACUUCAGUAAAUAACGAUUGCCAGGGUACAUUGAUUGAUGUGCAAGAAAUAGCAGUGAAAAUAAAAACACAAUUAAAUUCUGAGGGGAUAAAAUUGAGAUUGCGAUUAAAUUCUGCAAAUGCUAUAACAUUAGACGAUUUUUUUUUAAUUUUUUAAAAUAAAGCACAAUUAAAUAAAUAAAAAUUAUUUCUUUUAACCGGAUCCGAUCCGGUUCAAUACAUUUAGCUUUGACCUAGAACUAUAUUUUUCACAUUGUUUUAAAUUUAGCUCUACCGAAGCGUGCGCGUAGGACAUCCUUAUUCUUCAACUCUACAAUUACUUGAAAAUAAAGGAUUGAUUAAUGUCAUUGAAGUUAUGAAAUCUAAACACCUCUAUGAUAAUUAUCAAUUAGAAAAGCUUAGUCGAUAACAUUUUUCUAGUUCUGAACAUUCAAAUACCUCUAUGAUAAUUCUACUAUAUAUUAAGAAAAUUAGUUUAAAGUUAUUUUUAGUUCAAGAUUGUAUUUUAAUAAAUAUAAAAUACAAAAAGUUUACUCUAAUAUCGACUUAAUUCAUAUCAAAGUCCUUUAAAUUUUUAAAAAGUGUAUUUGAAUAUAUAGAGUAAAUUAUGUUUCAUUUAUGUUCUUAUUACUAUUUUUUUAAUUCAAUCCAUAAUUUCUAAAUAAAAAUGUCAAAUCACGUGAUAUAAUUUUUAUUACUUUAUUAAGUGGAGUGUAAUUAAGAAUCAUAAAUGAAUAUGCAUUGAGUAUACAAAAUAUCUUAUAUAUGCAUUUUUUAAAAUAUUUUGCUUUAUUAGAAUUCUGUUACCCAAGACCUGUUAAGUCUUUUAUGAAAAACUUACAGAUAAAAAAAAACACCCUUCUGUAAAUUUGUCAAAGGUGGGUUAAGGGUAAGCUUCCACCAACCUUUGCUAGCAUUUAAUAAUUGCAAGAAAAUGUUCCCUCUUGAUCCAAAAGAGUAGUAGUUGUUGACUUUGCCGUCCCGCUGGGGACCUAACAUUGUACUAAGAAUUUAUUAGGAUCCGAUAUUUCCAAAGCUCGAAGGUCAUGGGAAGCUGAAACAUUGAUGAUAUGACCCCACGUAUCAUUAUGAUGAUGAACAAGAACUUCCAAUAGCAGACCACUGUUUUGAGCUUUAAAUGAUAAAUAACAUUUUGUAGUUUUAUUCCUUUUAUUCUCUAUAUCAUCACCAUAAAAUUGAAAUAUAAUGAAAGAAUUUUCCAUCAGCGACUACACAACAUUCCAUCAGCCAUUUAUAUCACCAACAGAAACAUGUCGCAUAUUAAUUUGUUAUAUGUCGGCAUUACAAACUACAGAAAAAAAUACCAAUAAAAUAUUCACGUCAAAAAAACAAAAUGCAUUAACUAAAUUUUGUCGGUCAUUUUAUUGACAAAUCAACGUCCAAUGAAAUAUUAUAUUGCAAAUUCCAAUAGCAAAAUCUAAAUAUUGCUACCAGAUUAAGCAACAAAAUAUUGGCAAAAAUAUAUACAUCGCUACACUUUAUCGGAGAUUCUAAAACUUCUUAACCAUUAUAUAACUUUAUGAUGAAAUAGAGCUUUUAUUAUUAAUGGAAUCAUCAAUGAUAUUUUUGUGUGAAUCCAUUGAAAAAUUACUAGUUUUUUUUUUCUAAAUAUAAUUGUUAAAUUAAAAACCAAUAAAAUCACAAUAAAACCAAAUAUUACCAAUUUUAUUGAACAUCAAAUUUUUAUUAAUUUCAAUAUUCAUUACAAUAUUAAUUUUACAACAAUAUAUACAUUGCUACACAAAUAAAGGUAUGGGUGGAAGGGGGUAAAAUCAUGAGCCAAAAGAACCAGAAUGAGAAGCAAGAUAAUGUUUGGAUCUCUUGAACAAGGGAUUCCACUUUUGCUGCUCGAAGUAGAUGAGCCUAUACUAGUUUAAUCAACGAUAACAAUAGAUCUCUUUAAUUUUUUUUCCUCAACAUCUCCAAAUAUUAUACUAGUUAAUUUUCAAUUUCAAUAUAAUAAAUCUACAUUCUACAUUGAAUAAUGGAGUACACAUCCCAAAAUAAUCUACAUUUAAAAAACACACUUUCUAAGUGUAACAACUUGUUUCAAUUAUUCAAUACUUUAUACUACUACUACUAUUAAUAUCAUCAUCAUCAUCAUCAUGGGCUUAAACAUUUAAUAUAACAAUUAUGUUUAGGUUUAUAACAACAACAAUAAUAAAACAAAUUAUAUUAAUUGUAAAAAACAUUACAUAAAAAAAACAAAAUAACUAUUAAAAUUACAAAAUCACAAUUAAAUAUUAAUAUAAUGCACAACACAAUUGCUAGCAACAAUAAUAAUUACUCAAAUUUUAGUAUGUUUAUUGUAGGAAAAAAGCACACACAACAAUAACAAUAAUAAUUACAAAUAAUAUAAUACACAACACAAAAUUAAAAGCAUACACAAACAAUAACAAUAUUCUCUUGGCAACUACAAACAUUUUAGAGAUCGAGACACUUACUUUUAAGAGAUUGAGGAUGGGCAAUGAUAAGAGAGAGAGAACGGGGUUGGGCAAUGAAGACUUUGUUGGUGAUGAGUGCACUAAGGAUAGGAAGGGGGGAGGGGGAGGGGGUUGAAAGAGAGGGGGAACAACUUUUAGGAUAAUUUUAGCAACAAAGAUGAAAAUGGGAGAUAAAGGGAUCGGAUUAUAACCUAAAAUCACCGAUGGAAUUUUCAUCAUCGAUUCUGUUAGCAUAUUAACAUGUCGACAUAUGUUAACAUAAUCACUAAUGGAAAUUUAAUUAUUAUUUUUUAAUAUUUUUCAAUUACAUUGGCAAUUUUGUAGCCAUUUCUAAAACCUAUAAGACAUUAAUGACAAAAUCACAUUUAUUGGCUAUUCCAUCACCAUAUUUUAAACCUACUAGAAUAUUUCCAAUAAAACUGCACGUCCAUUGCUUAAAUUGUUUGGAAUUUUUGAUGAAAUUGCAUGUCUAUUGGUGAUUUCUUUAACAUGCACAAUUCCAUCAGCAAUUCCAUCGCUAUUUUUUAAAAAGAAAUUUCUUGUUAUAGUAUCUUAGCCAACCUAAAUACACAAUAGUGACACAACCAAAAUAUUGAUGUCUUCUCCCAAGUGCAGGAGUGUCGAAGUAUUAAAUAACCCUUCAAGACCGAGGUCGAACCACAAAGAGGUUAACUAUGUAAAUUAAAAAUAACAACAAUAACAACAACAACAAUAACAACAACAAGUUAAAGAAAUUUUGAGAUGUAAGAUUAAUGUGAGGAUUAAACAAUGAUAAAAAUAAAUGUUAAGGUUAGAGGAUUUACUAAUAGUAUUUCAAAUAAGUAUAGUAUAAAUUCUUUUUAUUACUCAACUAGAAACCACACACAAAGAGGUUCCAAUCGGAUUAUAAAUUGUUAACAUGAUUACAUUAGUUAUCUUAUUUGAAUAAUGUUAAUACAUGUAAAUGUUGUCAAGUAUUCAUGAUUAUUACUUAUGUUAAUAACAAAUCAAGUUCCUUUUAAAUUACAAGUGUCGGUUAUACCAUACGGUUUGGUCUAUGAAAGUGUCAAGUAUUUGUUGUACCAAAGGUCAUAUAACAUAAAUCUAGAUUAACCAUUUAACAAGUAAAGUACUAAAAGUGAACAAGAUAACAAAUACAAAACAUGUUAAUAUCAAACAUUAAAGUUCAUAUUGAGUUUAUAUUAUACUUAUUCUUACACCAUUAGUGUAACCUUUUCACCUUGAAAUAAUAAACUUAACUAAACAUAAUGUAUAAGAGAAACAUAAAUAAACAAGAUAAGAACAUAAAUAAGAUAUAAGACAACCAAGUAAAGGAAAGGAAAUGCAAAGCAUAAACAAGAGAUUAAUAAAAGCAACACUUAAACAUUACAAAAAUAUAAGAGAAAGAGAGCAAGAACAUGAUCUUGAUAUAAAAACUAAGAUGCUUAAAUGUAUAGCAAAUGCCUUCUUUUAUAGGCCAAAAUUUAGAACUAUUGAUUUGUUAACUAAUUGUUGAGUGGAUGGCAACAUCUUGACUUGAUGACAAUCCUUAUCUUCUUGUUUGAACAAAACAUCAUUGCUAACGUUAGAAUUUGAAUAGAUUAUCCUCAUGAAAGUUCUAGAAAAUUAUUUCAGCUUUCCAACAAAAAACAAUUUGGAGUAUUUGGACUUCUAGAACUCGAGAUAUGGGCUGAGCACUGAAUAGUGUCUGGGCUGACUUCUCCGUUGUUGCUAAGAUUUGGACUUCCAAAUAGCAGAAUUGAGUCUUGGACUCCCAUAAAUUUUUUAGGCCUAUGUCUCAGCUUUCUAGCCAUAUAAACCAAAUUAAAAUCCAAGAUCUAUAACUCCAGAUAUGACCCAAUGACUAAAUAAUGUUCCAGUUUGGACUGAACCAACAUCUCUUUUCUAUGUUUAACCCUCUCUUUGUCUUCUCAAUUUCAAUAGUUGAACUUAACAAUUAAUCCUUUAAUUUAUGUGAUAGACCUGCAUUUAAGAUGAAUAUUUACCAUAAAUAAGACAUGUUAUAAUAAAACAUGCUCUAGUUAAGGAGUUAUUGAUACUUCAAGUGCAAAAUAAUGAUAUAAAACCUUGAUAAAAAUUCACUUUUUAAGUACUAAUCAAAUAACAACAACACCAAACAUUUUAAAGCCAACAAUUGCCAACAUUAAACCCAAAACCACAACAAAUAUAAAAAAUACAAUGCAUUAUAAAGUUGCAACAAAUUGUGUUACAUGAUGAUUGUAUUACAUCUAAAUUAAUGUAAUAUCAUUUAAUUAGACUCCUCCUUUCCAUUUUCAUCAUCUUCUUUGUUGAAUUUAAAGUUUUUUAAUCUCAUCAUCUUCCUCUACUUCAUAAUGUCUACUAGUACUCAAUAUAUAAUUUCACUCGUCAACAUCAACAUCAAUAUAAGCAUUCUCAACGAUAUGAAAAUUUGUAUUUUUAACUCGUUAAAAGGAGUAACUCGAUAUGAAACAACUAUCACAUCUAUUUGAAAUACAUCAUCUCACUUAGAUACUUUAUUGUUAUCAUCUUCAAUAACUUCAACUUUAACGUGACUGUUAAGUUUAGUUUUCACAAUGAAAAACCAAUCAACUCUAUUAUGAUCAUUUCCAAAUGAAGGAGUGUAUGUACAAUACACUUGUUAACAUUGUUUGGAAAACAUAAAAACAUCAUUGAUGUUGCAAAGUCAAUCUCUUUUAUUUACUUUGACCAUACAAUAUUGAUGAUCUACUCUAAUAUCUCUAUUCGUAUCUACCACUAACAUUUUUAAAUAAAGCUAUUAUACAUUGCUCAAUAUGAUAUCACAAUUCAAUAACCUUUUGUAAUAUGUUAUAAUAAUCGACUUUAAACUUAUUGGAAGUUGAACCCUUGACACAAAUCCCACUAUCAGAGCAUCUCCAAUGAGAGAUUCUAUCUAGAAUAGCAAAAUUGGUAAUAUGGCUUUUUAAAUAUAUAUAUAUAUUGCGUAUAUGAACUCUAAUGGUAAAAAAUCCAUUUAGAAGAAACAAUUGUAUUUAAUAUAUUUGAUACAAAAUGAUUUUAACAACAUGAUAUGAUCCUGUUAACUUGACAGGUCUAAAAAUAACCCAAACAUAUUUCAACCAACUCAAUAUUAAAGGAUGAAAUUGAAAAGAAAAGAAAAAAAUGACUCGAGUAAACCCAGGUAAAUUCACAAAACUCAUGAUACGUUUCAUGAGAUCAGUAUAAUCUCAUUAAAAAAACUGGAAAAAAAAAUAGAUUUAAAAACAAUCAAAGGAAAAAAAAACUAGUGCAAAAAAAUAUUAUUGCAAUGAAUAGUAAUUUAGUUUUUUUGCAAGAUAUGUAGGAAUAACAUUUUUUAAGAGAAAUGCUAAAAUAAAAACUUUUUUAGCACUCUCAUUAGAGCAUGUAAAAUAAGUAUUAAAAAGCCAAAAUAAUAUGUGUGCAUGUGUGUGUAGCUUUCCUUUUAGCAUCUUUAUUGGACAUGCUUUUAUAUGUUUUUUGACCCUACCAUACUCCAGUAUAAAAAAUAUAUUCAUUGAUGAAAUUACCUAUUAUAACAUUAGACUUUUCUUUAAGGAUCCAAAGAAAGGAAUUUUAGUUUAUCAGCAUUGCCUCUCAUUUUAAAACUUGAUUAACAUUAAUUAGUGGCCACUAAUGGUUAGAGUCAAAACAUAAGUAAAUUUUUUCUUAUGAGUUAUGAAUUGUUAAAUACUUAAAUAUAUUUUAAAUUACAUGAAAUUUUUUUCAUCAUAUAAUUGGAAAGUUUGAGCUUCAAUUUCCAUGGCUUGACCUCUCAUCCAUAAAAAUAACAUCAACAUCUUUUGCAUUUUUACUCAACAAAAAGACAACUUAAAAGGGAAAAGGAUUCGAGAAACUAAAUGUUUAAGGUAAGAUUUAUGCUUUAAUGUAUAAUUAUGGUCAUUAGCUUUGAUUUUGGCUUUGUUAAGGUUUAGGGUUUUGAUUUUUAUGUUUUAGGGUUAGAUUGGUGGAUUAAUUGAAGUAUUAUAGGUUAAUUUUUAUGUGUUAAACAAUUAUGGGUUGAUUAUGUUGGGUUUUGAGUUAGAAUUUGAAAUCUACCAUUGUUGGGAGACUAGUGGAUUAGGAAUCUAAAAUCCUGAUCAAUCGGUCGACUAGUUGGCUUAUUGACUUCAGUCGAUUAGUUGGUGAAUUUUGGUCGACUGAUUUGCCUGACUAGUUUUGGUCGACCUAUUGGUAGAUUUUGGUUGACCAAUUGAUCAAAUGGUGAGGGUUGAUCAGUUCUUUUUGGUUUUAGAGUUUAGGAAAUGUUUGGGAUCGAUCGAGUAUAUCUGUUUUGCUUUUAUGUUUAUGUUAAGUCUCAAAUCUUAGAGAUGUAAUUUCUUAUGUUUUGUGUUUUGUGUUUUGUGUUUUGAGUCAUUCUUAGUACAUCUUCUUUAAUAUUCAUAUACUCCUAAUACUCUACCUGUUGGGCAUCAAUAGGACUUCCAUCAAUAUCUGCUUUUGAGUCUUAACUACUUUUGAGUUAGGUGAGUGGAUAAUAUUUCAUAUGCUAAAGGAAUAAUAUAAAUAUUUUAAUUAUUAAUAUAAAAUUGAUCAUGCUUCUUGAUAAUUUAUAUAUUGCUUAUUAUCUCUUGUCUAUGAUAAAGCAUGAUUAUUUAUUCAGACUAAUUUCUUGAUAUGAACAGUAAUGUACUUCUAAAUUGACAACUUCUUCUUUGAUUGAUUGUAUGAGUUGAGUUUUUAAGAAAUGAUUAUGUUUUGUUUAAUUAUGACCAUAUAAUAUACAAUCAAAAUACUCAUACUAGCAGGGUAAUGUUAAUUUUUGUGCACAUCAUAGUUCUGAACCUUAGUUGGUCGGCAAACUCACCAAACUGUGACGACUGAUUGCCUUAUAUUAUGGAGCAUCAUGCUCCUUGUAUUUUAAUUUUUUGACAAGCCUUAUGAUAUUUCUUGUUAUAAUCUGUUUGUAGAGCUCUCUGAUAAAAGCAUAAGCUAAACUUGUAUAUAUAUAUAUAUAUUCCUUAUUGGUGUAUUACCUUAUAUAUGUAUAUUGAACGUUAUUUACUCAAUGAGUUGUCGAACUCAUCCUCUCGUUCUUAAUUCUUUUCAGCCUUAUAACUUCAUUGAUAGGUUGCUUUUGUGGACUUUCAGAACCUGCUCUUUUGUUGCAAUUAACAUUAUUUUGUUAUGUCUAGUUAAAGCUCCACAAUUACAUAAUUUGUAUUAACUUUUGUAUAAAGUUGUUGAUUGAUAUUAUUAUUAUUGUUGUGUUUAACUCUAAUUGAGUUAAUAGGAAGAUAAGUUUGUUGUAUUAAGUUUUAUAAUUUUUUAUUAAAUUAUUUUAUUCUCGUGACCUAAACUAUAAAUUUAACGAGUUAUUACGACCCUACAGCAAUGCAGGUCGUCAUUAGAGCAACAACUAUUCGAAGGGUUAUUUUUUUUAUAUCCAACUGGUAAAGCUAUGUUAGAGUUAGUUUAUACAUUAACUAACGCUAAAUCUUAUAAAUCUUUUCUCGAGAGAUCUUAAGAACAUAUCAUCUGUAUCAAUCCUAGUAUAUUUAAUAAAUUUCAGUAAAUGUUUGUCUUAAAAUUUGGAGCAGAACAAAUAGGUGGAGUUGCUAUAUGAAGUAGUGAAAUGGUAAUAAUAAUAUGACAGACUUCUACUCUUUCUCCAUUGAUCAAUGAAUUAAUUCAUUCAUAAAAAAAAGAUAAAUUCAUGUACGUGCAAUAGAUCUAUGGGUCAACUUCAGUGAGUUGUUAAGCUUUUACUCCCUACCGCCACUUGUACUCUGUUCAUGCCAUAUAAGGCUAUUUCCACUACUCUACAAGCUUGAUAAUAAUGGAGAUCACUAUGCGUCCAGGCCUGAUUAAUUCAUUUACUAGCAUUACAAUGCUUUUGGUUUGCGUCUUCUUACUCUUUUUAUCACUAGCCUUUGCUGCACAAGACAGUAUCACUUCCAAUGAAUCCAUUAAAGAUGGCGAGAGUACUCUAGUUUCAGCAAAUGGAACUUUUGAACUGGGUUUUUUUAGCCCAGGAAAUUCAAUGAAUCGAUUUUUGGGAGUAUGGUACAAGAAUGAAGCUCAUAAAGAAGUUAUUUGGGUUGCCAAUAGAGAAAUUCCGCUUAAGGAUAGUUAUGUGUGGAGAAUUCUUGAUUAUAUACACCAUCUACAAAUCUAUAUUAGGAAGGCUAUUAACUACACAUAAAUAGGUGUUAUUAUUUGGACCUGAUUUAUGGGAAAGAAAAUCUGGCUUUCUAUAUUCAUUUCCCAUAAAUCAGGUUCAGAUCAGAUUCAAAUCUGCCUUGAUUGCUUCAGAAUCUUCAACACUCCCCCUCAAGCUGGAUGGAAGAGAUUCUUCAUUCCCAGCUUGUCUAAGAUACCUUUAAAUGAAGGAUUCUGCACACCUUUAGUAAGUAUAUCAGCAAGUUGUUCCCCAGUAGGCACAUAAGGUAUGCAAAUCAGUCCACUCUCAAUUUUUUCUUUGAUGAAGUGUCUGUCCACUUCCACAUGUUUAGUUCUAUCAUGUUGCACUGGAUUGUGUGCUAUUCCAAUGGCAGACUUAUUGUCACAGUAUAAUCUCAUUGGUUCUUCCCAUUUGAUUCUUAAAUCUUCUAGGAUAAUCUUUAUCCAUAGCAACUCACAAAUUCCAAGUGCCAUUGAUCUGAAUUCUGCUUCUGCACUUGAUCUUGAAACAACAUUCUGUUUUUUGCUUCUCCAUGUCACAAGAUUUCCUCCCAGCAGAGUACAAUAACCUGAUGUUGACCUUCUAUCUGUUAAGUCACCAGCAUAAUCAGCAUCUGUGUAGCAUUCAAGUUUCAGAUUCUCAUGCUUUUUAUACAAGAUUCCUUUUCCAGGGGUAGACUUUAAGUAUCUUAGAAGUCUAUAAACUGCUUGUAGGUGUGAAUCUUUCGGGUUAUGCAUGAAUUGGCUCACCACACUCACUGCAUAGGCAAUGUCUGGUCGAGUGUGGGCUAAGUAGAUCAGCUUACCAACUAGCCUUUGGUAUUGUCCCUUGUCAGUUGUGACUCCUUCCUCAUCAUUGUCAAGUCUGUGCUUUAGGUCAAUAGGUGUCUCACAUGGUUUACAGUCAACCAUUUUUGUCUCCUUUAGAAGGUCCAGAAUAUACUUCUGUUGAGAGAUAAAAAUCCCUUUUGUUGAAUGUGCUACUUCUAUGCCAAGAAAAUAUUUCAGCUUUCCUAGCUCUUUGAUUUCAAAUUCUGCAGAAAGUCUUCUUUUCAAUAUAUCCCUUUCUACAAGAUCAUCACCUGUUAUUAUAAUAUCAUCAACAUAAACAAUUAGAAUAGCAACUCCCCCUGAAAUGGAGUGUUUUAUGAACAAAGUAUGAUCUCCUUGACUUUGUCGAUAUCCCAUUGACACCAUGGCUUGUGUGAACCUUUCGAACCAGGCUCUAGGUGACUGUUUCAGUCCAUAGAGUGCCUUCUUUAGUCUGCAGACCUGGUUGGGAAGUAGAGAGUGACUGAACCCUGGUGGUGGAUCCAUAAACACCUCUUCUUCCAACUCCCCAUGUAAGAAAGCAUUCUUUACAUCAUAUUGCUGCAUACACCAUCCAAGAUUAGCAGAUAGAGAAAACAAAAUUCGAAUGGUGUUCAUCUUAGCAACUGGAGCAAAUGUUUCUUGAUAGUCUAUCCCAAAAGUUUGUGUAUACCCUUUUGCAACUAGCCUGGCUUUAUACCUUUCAAGGCUGCCAUCAGCUUUAUAUUUCAGAGUAUAGACCCACUUACACCCUACUGGUUUCUUGUCUUUUGGUAACUCAACUAUUUCCCAUGUUUGAUUCCUCUCUAGAGCAUUCAUCUCUUCUCUCAUGGCAAUUUUCCAUUUCUCAUUACUUAGAGCCUCAUGCAAGGUUUUUGGGAUAGGUAUGGUGUUUAUUUUUGAGAGAAAGGUUCUGUGUGAUGGUGAAAACUUUUCAAAUGACAUAAAGUUAGCUAUAGGAUAUAAGGGAUUCUUAGUGCAUUCUCUUAUCCCUUUUCUGAUUGCAAUUGGCUGAUCAAGAUCAUUAGUAUUAAGAAUAGAUAAGGAUGGAUGAGAAGUUUCAUUACCUUGCUCUGGUUCAGAUUCUUGGGCUUGCAUGAGAGUUUGAAUAGGCUGUACCCUUCUUCUAUAUACCUGAAGAGGUCGGUCAGUAGUAGUAGUUUCACCCUGCAGAGUUUCUCUUGUAAGGUUUGGAGAUUUAGUGGGUGGUGAAUUCAAAGAUGAUUGCUGCCGAGAUGGGAUUUGGAAGGAAAAAAUGUCAAAAACAUUUGUAUUCUUAUCUUCCGUGUCUGUUUUGUCCUCCUGAAGAUAAGUUUUGUUGAAGAAAGGUUGGUUUUCAUUAAAAGUGACAUCUUUUGACACAAGAAAUUGUUUUGAAGGUGGAUGAUAACAUUUGUAACCCUUUUGUGUGACAGAAUACCCUAUGAAAACACACUUUAGAGCUCUAGCAUCAAGUUUGUCUCGGUGAUGUUUAUGAAUAUGAACAUAGGUGACACACCCAAAAAUUCUUGGGGGAAUUUUAGAAUAAAAAUUAUUCUUUGGAAAGAAUUCUGAUAAAUAGUUUAAAGGACUUUUGAAACCAAUAACUCUUGAAGGUAUUCUAUUUAUCAAAUAAGUAGAUGUUAAAACAGCUUCUCCCCAAUAGUGUUUUGGAACUUGAUGUUGAAAAAGUAAAGCUCGAGUAGUUUCGAGAAGAUGUCUGUUUUUUCUCUCGGCUAACCCAUUUUGUUGAGGAGUAUUAACACAAGAUGAUUGAUGAAUAAUCCCUUCCUUUUCAAAGUAUGGUGAUAGGAUCUUAUUAAAGUAGUCCCUAGCAUUAUCAGUUCUAAUCCCCUUAAUGCUAACCCCAAAUUGAUUCUUUAUCAUUUUUGUAAAGUUUGGAAAGAUGUGACUUACAUCAGCUUUUCUUUUAAGAAGAUAAACCCAAGUCAUUCGGGUACAAUCAUCAAUAAAUGUUACAAAUCCCUUUGCUCCUGAAAUAUUGGGAACAUUAUAUGGACCCCAUAUGUUAGAAUGAAUUAUUUGGAAUGGAGACAUAGAUCUUGAAUCACUUAUAGGAAAAGACACUCUAUGAUGCUUUGCAAACUCACAAAUUUCACAAUGAAAUUGUUCCACAUUAAGAUUUUUAAAUAAGGAUGGAAACAUGUGACUAAGAGUCUUAAAUGAAAGAUGUCCUAAACGACGAUGAUGGUUCCAAACAUCAUCUUUAUUAGAAUUGACUGAAAUAAAUGAUAGAGGGUGAGAGUUACUACUGCUGCCUUGCAGUCCAAGCAUGUACAGCCCAUCCUUGACUCUAGCCUGCCCAAUCAUCUUCCCCGUAACUAGGUCCUGAAAUAUGCAGCGAUCAAGGAAGAAAGUUACACUACAAUUUAUGUCUUUGAUUAGUUUUCGAAUGGAUAACAGAUUUGCAGUAAGGUUAGGGACAUGUAGCACUUGUUUAAGGUUCAAUGAGUGAUUAAGAGGGAUUGUUCCCUGUCCUGCUACUGUGAUUAGAGAUCCAUCAGCAACUGUGAUUUUCUGACUGCUAGGACAAGGCUGAUAUGAUUUGAAUGAACCUGCAGAAUGAGUCAUAUGGUCUGUUGCACCUGAGUCUAUGACCCAGAUGCUGGAAUGGUCCUUGUUUGAGGCACUAAAUGCAUGAGAAAUUAGAAUUUUACCAUUUUUAGCAAGAGAGCAUGACCCAGAUGGUUUCUCCAUGGUGUUGAGUAGGAUCCUUAGGCGUUCAAUCUCUUCUUGGUUGAAUCCCCCCACUUCUGGGAUGCUGGACUCACGGGUUGUCUCUUCUGAAUUUGUUAAGUGUGCAUGUCCUCUUGACUGAUUCCAUUUGUAUCCUCCAUUACGCCCCAUCCUUAGUGGUUUUCCAUGGAGUUUCCAGCAAGUCUCCUUUGUAUGACCUGCCUUCUUGCAAUAGUUACAAAACAAAUCAUCUUUAGGGAAUUUUUUUCCUUCAAUCUUCCCAACUUCUGCACCAUUCAUGGCAUCACCCAUGUUUCUGCUAUUAGUUAUCAACAUAGCAGAUCCUUCAGUAUUUGGUGCAUCCAGCAUCACAGCUCUCCUUCCUUCUUCAGCCCUUAUUACUGAGAAUACCUCAUUGAGUGAGGGUAGAGAUUCCUUUCCAAGUAUUUGGACUCGCAUUUGAUCAAAUUCUAUGUUGAGUCCUGCAAGAAAUUCAAAGAUCCUUUCUCUUUCUACAUAUUUCUUUAAAAUCACAGCAUCAUCACUACACUGCAUCUUAAAAUCUUGAUAAUAGUCCAACUCCAACCAAAAACUUUUCAUAAUAUUGUAAUAUUCAAUAACCAUCAUAUUACCUUGCUUGGUCAUUGAAAGCUUCGUUUUAAUCUCAUAGAUUAACGCAGCAUCCUUCACUUUAGAGUAAGUCUGUCUCACUGCAUCCCAUAUGUCUUUUGCUGUCACCAAAAACAUAUAAGGCCCACAGACUUCUGGCAUAAUAGAGUUCCAUAGCCAUGACAUAAUCAUGGAGUCUUCUUCAUCCCAGAGUGUAAACUUUGGGUCUUCUGGACUAGGAGGAUUGUCCAUCAAAUGACUAAUCUUUCCCUUUCCUUUGAGAAAGGUUUUUACUAUCUGUGACCACUUCAGAUAGUUUCUUCCAUUCCGUCGGUAGGAUGACUGUAAAUUCUGGAAUUCACUUGAUAUUUGGGUUUCUUUUGUAGUGUUUUCAGACAUGUUUUUUUAGAUCUGGACAGGUCUGCUACUAGGAUUGUCAAAAACAGAUUGGAAGAUAAGAGAAGAAAUUCCAGAUCCAGAGAGAGAUAGGUUUAGAAAAGAAAAAAAAACUGGCUCGGUUUAGAGCUCUGAUACCAUGUGGAGAAUUCUUGAAUUCUUACUUCUCAAUCUUAUUUCAGAAUAUAUUCCUGAUUAUAUACACCAUCUACAAAUCUAUAUUAGGAAGGCUAUUAACUACACAUAAAUAGGUGUUAUUAUUUGGACCUGAUUUAUGGGAAAGAAAAUCUGGCUUUCUAUAUUCAUUUCCCAUAAAUCAGGUUCAGAUCAGAUUCAAAUCUGCCUUGAUUGCUUCAGAAUCUUCAACAUUAUGGAUUUCUAAAUUUCACCCAGCAAGGAGUUUUGCUUCUUCUCAACGGAAACAAUGAAAUAAUUUGGUCAUCCGAAAAAACAGCAAAUCUUGAGAGUCCAGUUACGCAGCUAUUGGAUUCAGGAAAUCUAGUUGUGAAAGAUGGGAAGGAUAAUAACUUCAUUUUAUGGCAGAGUUUUGAAUAUCCUUGUGAUACGUUUCUACCAGGAAUGAUGAUCGGAGGGAAUUCACAAACUGGUGUGUAUAGAAACCUGAUAUCAUGGAAGAGCGCAGACGAUCCUGGUCCAGGCCAAUUUUCAUUCGGGAUAGAUCGUCAGGGGUUUCCACAGCUAGUCGUCAGGAAUGGAACUUUGAAGCACUAUAGGCUGGGUUUAUGGAAUGGAAAAAGAUUCACCGGGACUCCUGAUCUGCCUACAGAUCGGCUCUUGAAGUAUGAUUUGAUUUUGAACAAGACUCAUGCAGAUUAUAGUUAUGAAAUCCUGAGACCGGGUGCAUUGUUGACGAGGUUAAUUGUGAAUCAGUCAGGAUUCGUGGAACGCUUUAUCCGUAGAGAUCAAACUAAUGGUUGGAAAAGUAUAUAUAAGGCACCAAGAGAUCUAUGUGACAAUUAUUCAGUAUGUGGUGCACAUAUGAUUUGCAAAAUGGUCGAUCAAUCCCACAAUUGUACUUGCGUGGAAGGAUUUGAACCCAAAUCUCGUACGAAUUGGAGUGAAGGGUGUGCUAGAAGGAGUCCAUUGAAUUGCACACAGGACAUCUUUCAGAAUUUUAUAGGGCUUAAGUUGCCGGAUACAUCCCUUUCCUGGUAUGAUACAAGCAUGAGUCUAGUAGAAUGCAAGGACAAGUGUCUAAAAAACUGCAAUUGCACGGCAUAUGCAAAUUCAAAUAUCACAGGAGAAGGCAGUGGCUGCAUACUCUGGUUUGGUGAAUUGGUUGAUAUGAGAGAGUUUAGUUAUGGGGGCCAAGACCUCUACAUAAGGAUGCCACCACCUUUGAAAACAGGUAUUUUUCAAUAUUCUUCCCAUGAUUCUCAAGCAGGUUAUUUUUUUUCACUCUUUCCCUCUGUUUCUUUUUUUUUUUUUUUUGAAAUGAAGAAGUUGUAUGUUCCUUAAAUGGUUUCCUAACUUCGUGUCCUCAUUUCCUCAUUCUAUUUACAAAUAAAACAGAACUCCUUUCUCUGUUUAUUGUGGGUUUUCAGAUCAGACGACGUCAAACACAAAUUCUGGUAAGAAGAAGCUUUUAGGAAUCAUACUCGGUUCCACACUCCUUGCUGGAGUGCUUAUGGUAGGACUAACCUUCUAUAUAUGGAGAAAGAAGCAGAGAAAGCAAGGUAGUGUACUUUGGACAAUUCUUCUUAUUCCAGAACAUGGACCUUGUUGAUAUAUAUAGUAUGCAUGGUAGAUUACUACUAUUGUAGAAUUUUAUGUUAGUCAUCGAUAACAAAAUGAAGAAUUUGUUAGAUCAUGCUGUUAGUCAAUUAGCUUUGAUAAGGAGAAGCUGUUCGUUUAUCAUUGCUGACAACUGAUCAAUCUUCUGCUAUUCAGAAAUAGAGGAAGACAUGGAGUUACCAUCGUUUCAUUUGGCCACCAUAGUGAAAGCAACGGAUAACUUUUCAAGCAACAACAAGUUGGGACAAGGUGGUUUUGGACCGGUAUAUAAGGUAUAUAACAACGUGCUUCAAAGCAGAGUGAUCAUCUACUAUGAGAUAUUCUAACUUCAGUAAAUAACAAUUCCCAGGGUACAUUGAUUGAUGGGCAAGAAAUAGCAGUGAAAAGACUUUCAAAAAGUUCUCGGCAAGGAUUGACAGAGUUCAAGAAUGAAGUUAUCUUGAUAGCUAAGCUUCAGCACAGAAAUCUUGUUAAACUUCUUGGCUGUUGCAUUCAAGGAGAUGAAGUAAUGUUGAUCUAUGAAUUCAUGCCCAACAAAAGCUUAGAUUGUUUUAUUUUCGGUUUGUACCCCAAGAACUGGUUAGAGUUUCUUGCAGUUAGAUUGCUUGUUCUAUGAUGUUUCAUUUAUACAUCAGAAUAACAUAACAUUAUGAUAAAUUGAUUAGAUCAAACAAGAAACAAAUUCCUGGACUGGCAGAGACGUAACCUCAUUAUCGGUGGCAUUGCUAGAGGACUACUUUAUCUUCAUCAAGACUCUAGACUAAGGAUUAUCCAUAGAGAUCUCAAAGCCAGCAACAUAUUAUUAGAUAAGGAUAUGAACCCCAAAAUUUCAGAUUUCGGAAUGGCUAGACUGUUUGGAGGAGAUCAAAUUGAAGCAGACACAAAUAAAGUGGUCGGAACAUAGUAAGUACACUCUACACCUAUUUUGUUACAAUGUAUAAUCUCCUCACAUUUAAACUUUUUCUGAUAAUGUUUUUCCGCAGUGGAUACAUGUCCCCUGAGUACGUUGUUGAUGGGCGUUUCUCACUGAAAUCCGACGUCUUCAGCUUCGGUGUUUUAGUCUUGGAGAUAAUAAGUGGGAAGAAAAAUAGAGGAUUCUCCCACCCGGAUCACUACCAUAAUCUUCUUGGACAUGUAAGGAUAAAAUUAAACAUGUUAAUUUAAUUAUGUAUUGACAAUUUUUAUCAUAACAAGUUUUUGUUUUCAAGGCAUGGAAACUGUGGACGGAAGAGAGGGCAUUGGAGCUUCUUGACAAUAUGUCAGAUCGCCCGUAUUCUGUAUCUGAAGUAUUGAGAUGCAUUCAUGUGGGUCUGCUAUGCGUGCAACAAAAGCCGGAAGACAGACCAAAUAUGUCAUCUGUGGUUUUGAUGUUGGGCAGUGAGAAUUCAUUGCCUGACCCAAAGCAACCUGGUUUUUUCACGGAAAGGAAUAUGCCCGCAGUGGACUCUUCAUCAGGAAAUCAUGAAUCAUCGUCUAUAAAUGACCUAACUAUUUCAGAGCUAGAUGCACGGUAGAAGAUUGGCUCUGAUGGUUAAAAGGAAGAGCUAUAUAUAUAUAUAUAUAUGUAUGUAUAUUCUAGCCAAAUCCAAGGCAUAUAACAGAAAUUAAAUAUUUUCUGCUAUAAUUAUGUUGAUGUAUUAUUUUUACCUGUCUACAAGUCCUCUGCAAGUACUAGUGCGAAUACAGAUAGACAGAAUGCUUGAGGAUUCACAUCUCUGGACUGCACAAUAUCUGUACUUGUUUGCUUCGAGCCGUCGAAUUUAAUGCACGGAUCUGGGUUCAAGAUCUAUAUAUGCUAGAGCCUCACUGGCUUCUAACCCAAAAAGAAUCCAUUAGAAUUGUCAAUAUAUAAUUAGUAAAAAAAAAUUACAUACAAUUUAAACAAUCCAAAUUUAUAAUUCAAAUUUACAUUAUAUUUUUCAUAACAUGUUAAAAAAAUAUAUUUUUAACAACCAUACAAGGAGCUAUAGUCUUUCCUUGAUUGAUUUCAUAGCACCUUAAACUUAGCCUUGACCUAACCCUUUUAGGGAUAAAUAUUAUAGGUACGAGUACCUUGAUGAUACUUAGCCUUUGUAGGGGAAUCCGACCGGUGAUGUUUUGAUAUUUGCUCAUAGUAGGCUAAGCACACUAACACAAUAUUUAACGUGGUUCGACAAACCGCCUACAUCCACGGGAGAAACCAUUUGAUUAUAUAGGGAGAGAACAAGAUUUACAACAGUAGAGGAGGAGGAAUCAUCCCCUCUUUGGCAACUCUCAACCUCACUCUAUUUUUCUCUUCUCAAUGCUGCAUUGGCAGCUACUGCUGGCUGCCUUGGCAGCCCACUCUCUCUUACAUUUCUCUCAUAUUUGGCUCUACUUUCACUCUCAUUUUGCUCUCUAAAAUCAUGCCUCUUUUAUAGGCAUCAAUGGCAGCUCCUCUUGCUCCUUUGUCAGCAAUGGUGGCUUCCAAACUUACCAAACUUUGACAAUAGACAAUGGUUGUUGGCUGCCACCAACAACCCACCAUUAUAGCCUCAUUCUUUGACUCUCACAUAGCAGUCAUCUUCUUUGACAUAGGCAGCCACAUAAUUGGCAAUAUUCCAACAAUCACCCCCUUUGCCAUUUAUGUGGGGCAACUAUCCUCUUGCUUCUUCAGCACAUGCUUGCAUCUUGCAGCUUUUCCAAGCUUACCAUUCAACCAGAUGGUUUGUCACAUCUCAUCUGAAGAGUGUUUAAUGCUUGUCUCUGGAACAACAUUCCCCUUCAAGCAUAUCAACCAUGCUUGGCCUGGAAUGAUUUAUCAAGCCUUACAUCAAGGCUUACAACACCCCCUCAAACUGAUAUUCCCAAGUGCGAUAGUCAUUGAGUAUUUUAAUGUGAUCACGAGCUCACCACUCUUCCAAGAGCCUACUCAUCCAGGAGUUGCGUCUGCCCUCUAUUCCACCCUAGGAACCACGCCUUACUUCUCCGUGAGUCUCUCACUCUUAGUCUCAAGAGUCCGGGUAGCAUCCACCUUUACUUAUGGGGGCAGCCCAUUAAAGGUUGAUCCAUAUCUAUCUUCAUACUCUGAGUAUUACAAUGCUUUCACCGAGCUCACCACCUUGACAAGAGUCAACUUGUUCCCGGAACCUGCGCAUGCCCUCUGCUCCUUCAUAGCAGUCGCGUCUUAAUGCUCCACAAGUCACCCACUUAUUGUCCAAGGUAAAUGUCUUCUAGCUCAUUGAUCUUUAGCAUGGGGGCAAUAUCCAUGAAAGUCAAUCCUGCAUUUGUCUUCAUACUCAUCAUAGACUCUUCAUUGGCUAUACACUUGUCCACUUAUAUCCAGCCAUCAUAUUGGCUCUAGGGCUGGGCUCUUUUCAUGGCCCUCACACCUUCUCGUGAGGUGUCUCCGCUCGUCGUCAUGCGAUAGUCUGAAUCUGGGCUAAUAUUAUAGCCCUCACACCGUCCAUCCGAGGUGUCUCCGUUCAUCGUCAUGCGGCUUCAUGUCCCUCACACCUUCUCCGAAGGUGUCUUCGCCCGUUGUCAUGGGGCAGUCUGAUCUUGGGCUCAUAUCAUGGCCCUCACACCUUCUGUCUGAGGUGUCUCCGCCUAUCGUUAUGAGACGGCCUGAACAUGGACUCAUAUCAAGGUCCUCACACCUUCUGUCCAAGGUAUCUCCGCCUGUCGUCAUGAGACGGUCUGAACAUGGACCCAUAUCAUGGUCCUAACACCUUUCGUCUGAGGUGUCUCCGCCUGUUGUCAUGAGACGGUCUGAAUCUGGGCUCAUAUUAUAGCCCUCACACCUUCCAUCCGAAGUGUCUCCGCUCAUCGUGGAGCGGUCUGAAUCUAGGUUCAUAUCAUGGCCCACAAACCUUCCUCUAAGGUGUCUCUGCCCGUUGUCAUGGGACAGUCUGAUCUUGGACCCAUAUCAUGGUCCUCACACCUUCUGUCUAAGGUGUCUCUGCCUGUUGUCAUGAGACGGCCACAUCCUCCUUCAUCGGGGAUGUCUCUAGUGGCUCUAAGAUUCUCUACCACCAUGUGGACUUGGGAGAGAUUACUGCCACUGAUUACAUAGAAAGAUAAAGUUGUGGCAUACUCCUCGCAAUCCUCCACCUCGAUUUCUAUGUCUGGAGCUUCUACGCCUUUCUACUUGAUAGCUCCACCUACACCACUCUCUUUAGUGUCUUCGCCUUUCAUCAUAGGCGGUCACCUUUGUCACAGGCGUUUGCACCCCCUCAAUUAGGUGCCUCUGCAACAGCUCAUCUUUCCAUCAUUGCAUGCAUUGGAAAGGUCCUCGCUUGUUGCCUUCAUCAAGAGCACAAGAGAUUUCUUGUUGUAUAACUUUUUCACACCGUCUCUACUCUAAGCUUCAUCUGGGAACUCUUAUUCUCCUUGCACCUACUGUCUCAUUACAGUACCUCGUUGGAUCCUACGGGUACUCCUGCACAAUCUCCGUGUGCUCUCGUGCAAUUCCGGUUCUCUAGAUUUCUCCCUAUUUUUUGCUUUUAUGUUUGACAACAGCUCAUCCUGUCACAACAUUUAUCCAAGUCAAAAUAGGGUGCCAAUCUUUAUCCCCUUGUUGUAUUUCUCUUCCAUUAUCAGGGUCUUCAUUAAUUCUCCCUUCGAGAAAUUACAGUCACCGAAUCUAACUUCUUUGGAGAAAUCACCACUCCAUUAGAUCCUUGAACAUACGGAACCCAACUGUUCCUUUAUGUCGUCAUCUUGCUAGUCUUCAACAGUUUCAUUACAAACUGUUACAUAUACAAAAAUAGUACUGUGUGGAUGAUCCUUCAACUAAGCAAGUUCCCAGGAAAGAUUUGGAGGGGUCACACUGGUCCCGUGAUUAGUACUUAAAAGUGCAUGUUUAUCAAGGUUUUAUAUCAUCAUUUUGCACUUGAAGUAUCAAUAACUCCUUAACUAAAGCAUGUUUUAUAAUAACAAGUUUGAUACUAUAAGAUACCUUAAUUUAUGGUAAAUGCUCAUCUUAUAUGCAGGCCUAUCACAUAAAUAAAAUGAUUGAUUGAUGAGUUUAAGUAUUGAAAGUGAAAGGACAAAGAGAUGGCCAAACUUAGAAAAGAGAUGUCGGUGCAGUCCAAACCAGAACAUUGCUCGGUAAUUGGAUCAUAUUUGGAGCUCUAGAUCUCAGAUUUAGGUCCAUUUUAUAUGGAUGGAAAGGUAAUACAAAGGCCUACAACUUUCAUGAGGAGCCUAAGAUUUAAAAAGGUCGUUUUGAAGUCCAAAUUGAAGGAACAACGAAGAAGUCCGAAGCUGUCCUGCAGCCCAGACACUAUUUAGUGUUCAACCCAUAUCUUGAGUUCUAGAAGUCCAAAUGACCUCAUCUUUUUUUUUUUGGAAAGCUGAGACAAUUUCCUAGAACAUUCCUGAGGAUUCUGGGCAAAUUAUUAUGUUAGAAAUGACGUUUUGUUCAGACAAGAAGAUAAGGAUUGUCACCAAGUCAAGAUGUGGCCACCCACUCAUCAAUUAGUCAACAAAUCAAUAGUUCUAAAUUUUGGCCUAUAAAAGGAGGCACUUACCAUGUAUUGAGGCAUCUUGGUUUCCAGAUCAAGAUCAUGCUCUUGCUUUCUCUCUUUGUAUUGCUUAUGUCUUGCUUUCAUUAAUAUCAAGUUUAUGCACUUCAUUUUCUUUCCUUUACUUAGUUAACUUCUUUCUCAUUUAUGUUCUUAUCUUGUUCAUUUAUGUUUCUUUCUUUCAUUAUGUUCAGCUAAGUUAAUUAUGUCAAGGUGAAAAGGGUACACUAAUGGUGUAAGAAUAAGUAUAAUAUAAACUUAACAUGGACCUUAACGUUGGAUACUAACAUGUUUUAUAUUUGUUAUCUUGUUCACUUUUAAUACUUUGCUUGUUAAAUGGUUAAUCUAGAUUUAUGUUAUAUAACAUUUGGUACAACAAAUACUUGGUACUUUCAUAGCCCAUACUGUAUGGUAUAACCGACACCUGAGCUAUAAAAGGAACUUGAUUUGUUGUUAACAUAAGUUAUAAUCAUGAAUGCCUGCCAACAUUUACAAGUAUUAGCUUUAUUCGAAUAAGAUAACUAAUGUAAUCAUGUUAACAAUUUAUAAUCUGAUUGGAACCUCCUUUAUGUGUGGUUUCCAAUUGAGUAAUAAGAGUUUAUACUAUACUUGUUUGAAAUACCAUUAGUGGAUCCUCUAACCUUGACAUUUGUUGUUGUUAUUGUUUAAUCCUUACGUUAAUCUUUCAUCUCAAAGUUCUCAUUAAUUUCUUCAUCUUCUGCUUUUAUUAUUAUUAUUAUUAUUAUUAUUAUUAUUAUUAUUUACAUUCUGUUUAUAUUAUAUAAUAUAUAUCUUUGAUCUUUUCAUAAACUCAGUAUAUAGGCUGGAAACCUGUGACCCGAUCUUUUAGAUUAUUCUCAGGUAUAACAACGCCACGUACUAAGUAUUAUAAUUAUUAUUGUUGUUAUUAUUGUUGUUGUUGUUAUUGUUGUUGUAUUGUUAUUUAUAAUUUAUACAAUUAAUCUCUAUGUGGUUCGACCCCGGUUUUGCCGGGUUAUUUAUUACUUCGACACUCCUGCACUUGGGAAAAGACAUCAAGCUUUAGGUCGUGUCAAGUUUUUGGCGCCGUUGCCGGGGAGGUAAAUUCUUGUAUAAAUUAUAAUUUUUAUUUCUUUUUAUUUUUUUCAUUUUAUUUAAUUUUGUUUCUUUUCUUUUCUUGCUUUUAUUCUCUUUUUACACGUGCAUGAGAGUUUGGUCACGUAUAUUAAGUGGUCGACUUUGUAGGGUAUCCUCAUCAUUUUUAGAAAAUAUGGCUGAAGAAGAUAAUCAAUCGCUUCAUAAUGAGAAUAAUGAGAAUAACCGUAUGAGAACACUUAGAAAUCACAUGAAUCCCACAAGAACAAGUGCACCCUCAUGCAUAGUUUUCCCUUUCCUUUCCUGGUAUGAUACAAGCAUGAGGCUAGUAGAAUGCAAGGACAAGUGUCUAAAAAACUACAAUUGCACGGCAUAUGCAAAUUCAAAUAUCACAGGAGAAGGCAGUGGCUGCAUACUCUGGUUCGGUGAAUUGGCUGAUAUGAGAGAGUUUAGUUAUGGGGGCCAAGACCUCUACAUAAGGAUGCCACCACCUUUGAAAACAGGUAUUUUUCAAUAUUCUUCCCAUGAUUCUCAAGCAGGGUAUUUUUUUUCACUCUUUCUCUCUGUUUCUUUGUUUUUUUUUUUGAAAUGAGGAAGUUGUAUGUUCCUUGAAUGUUUUCCUAACUUCGUGUCCUCAUUUCCUCAUUCUAUUUACAAAUAAAACAGAACUCCUUUCUGUGUUUAUUGUGGGUUUUCAGAUCAGGCGACGUCAAACACAAAUUCUGGUAAGAAGAAGCUUUCAGGAAUCAUACUCGGUUCCACACUCCUUGCUGGAGUGCUUAUGGUAGGACUAAUCUUCUAUAUAUGGAGAAAGAAGCAGAAAAAGCAAGGUAGUGUACUGUGGACAAUUCUUCUUAUUCCAGAACAUGGACCUUGUUGAUAUAUAUAGUAUGCAUGGUAGAAUUUUAUGUUAGUCAUCGAUAACAAAAUGAAGCAUUUGUUAGAUCAUUGCUGACAACUGAUCAAUCUUCUGCUAUUCAGAAAUAGAGGAAGACAUGGAGUUGCCAUCGUUUCAUUUGGCCACCAUAGUGAAAGCAACGGAUAACUUUUCAAGCAACAACAAGUUGGGACAAGGUGGUUUUGGACCGGUAUAUAAGGUAUAUAACAACGUGCUUCAAAGCUGAGAGAUCAUCUACUAUGAGAUAUUCUAACUUCAGUAAAUAACGAUUCCCAGGGUACAUUGAUUGAUGGGCAAGAAAUAGCAGUGAAAAGACUCUCAAAAAGUUCUCGGCAAGGAUUGACAGAGUUCAAGAAUGAAGUUAUCUUGAUAGCUAAGCUUCAGCACAGAAAUCUUGUUAAACUUCUUGGCUGUUGCAUUCAAGGAGAUGAAGUAAUGUUGAUCUAUGAAUUCAUGCCCAACAAAAGCCUAGAUUGUUUUAUUUUCGGUUUGUACCCCAUGAACUGGUUAGAGUUUCUUGCAGUUAGAUUGCUUGUUCUAUGAUGUUUCAUUUAUACAUCAGAAUAACAUAACAUUAUGAUAAAUUGAUUAGAUCAAACAAGAAACAAAUUCCUGGACUGGCAGAGACGUAACCUCAUUAUCGGUGGCAUUGCUAGAGGACUACUUUAUCUUCAUCAAGACUCUAGACUAAGGAUUAUCCAUAGAGAUCUCAAAGCCAGCAACAUAUUAUUAGAUAAGGAUAUGAACCCCAAAAUUUCAGAUUUUGGAAUGGCUAGACUGUUUGGAGGAGACCAAAUUGAAGCAAACACAAAUAAAGUGGUCGGAACAUAGUAAGUACACUCUACACCUAUUUUGUUACAAUGUAUAAUCUCCGCACAUUUAAACUUUUUCUGAAAAUGUUUUUCCGCAGUGGAUACAUGUCCCCUGAGUACGUUGUUGAUGGGCGUUUCUCACUGAAAUCCGACGUCUUCAGCUUCGGUGGUUUAGUCUUGGAGAUAAUAAGUGGGAAGAAAAAUAGAGGAUUCUCCCACCCGGAUCAUUGCUAUAAUCUUCUUGGACAUGUAAGGAUAAAAUUAAACAUGUUAAUUUAAUUUAAUUAUGUAUUAACAAUUUUUCUCAUGACAAGUUUUUUGUUUUCCAGGCAUGGAAACUGUGGACGGAAGAGAGGGCAUUGGAGCUUCUUGAAAAUAUGUCAGAUCGCCCGUAUUCUGUAUCUGAAGUAUUGAGAUGCAUUCAUGUGGGUCUGCUAUGCUAUGGUUUUGAUGUUGGGCAGUGAGAAUUCAUUGCCUGACCCAAAGCAACCUGGUUUUUUCACGGAAAGGAAUAUGCCCGCAGUGGAGUACUCUUCAUCAGGAAAUCAUGAAUCAUCAUCUAUAAAUGACCUAACUAUUUCAGAGCUAGAUGCACUGUAGAAGAUUGGCUCUGAUGGUUAAAAGGAAGAGCAUAUAUAUAUAUAUAUAUAUAUAUAUAUAUUUCUAGCCAAAUCCAAGGCAUAUAACAGAAGUUAAAUAUUUUCUGCUAUAAUUAUGUUGAUGUAUUAUUUUUACCUGUCUACAAGUCCUCUGCAAGUACUGUUGCGAAUACAGAUAUACAGAAUGCUUGAGGAUUCACAUCUCUGGACUGCACAAUAUCUGUACUUGUUUGCUUCGAGCCAACGAAUUUAAUGCACGGAUCUGGGUUCAAGAUCUAUAUAUGCUAGAGCCUCACUGGCUUCUAACCCAAAAAGAAUCCAUUAGAACUUCUUACUAGAUUUAUAUGUACAAUUCAAUAAUUCUUUUGUAUUGAAAAGUUUUAUAUUAUAUUUUUCUCUCACAUUUUAUUUAAAUCACUCAUUGAUUAUAAUGUUGUUGACUUUCUUUGUUAGAUUCUAAUGUAAUUUAAUUUUUUGGCUAGAAUUGUCAAUAUAUAAUUAGUAAAAAAAAAAUUACAUACAAUUUAAACAAUCCAAAUUUAUAAUUCAAAUUUACAUUAUAUUUUUCAUGACAUGUUAAAAAAAUAUAUUUGUAACAACCAUACAAGGAACUAUAGUUUUUCCUUGAUUGAUUUCAUAGCACCUUAAACUUAGCCUUGACCUAACCCUUUUAGGGAUAAAUAUUAUAGGUACGAGUACCUUGAUGAUACUUAGCCUUGACCUAACAAAUUUUCAUAUCAUAAUUCCAAAAUUUUGAAAAUAAAAAUAAAAUGCAAAAACUAAAAUAGAAAAUCAAAAAUAAAAUGAUAUCAAAAAACCCUUCUAACUUUUCUUUUUUAUGUAAGGGUUGAAUUAUAUUAACUCAAUUAACCCAUCUUUCUAAAUUAAGUUAUAUAUUUUUUAAUAAUUUAUGUAUUUUAUCUCAAAUAGAUAAAACAUUAAAAAUAGAAGAGUUAUUAUGGAUCCCACAAAAUAAUAGCUGUAAAGCAUAUAUAGCUUGAUAUUAUGACAAAAAGAUGUCAUAUUGACGUUUUAAUUAACUUAUUAUGUUAUAAUGGAGGAACCUUUACAAAAUAAAAUAAAGAGAAGAGGGAUUUAAUCAAUAUUAAAAUAUAAAAAGAGUAGUUGCUAUAAAAAUAAAUAAAUUGAAGAGUACAAAGAUGAAAUAUGAGUGGAACCUGCUAUUUAAUAUGAAUUUUAUGGUUUCGUCCAAACUGGCCACAACAAUCAUAUGGUUUCGUUCAAAGUUCAAACUCGUGUAUGGAUGGGCUUCAAAUGAAAGCCUCUUAUGGAUUUUGGAAAAAGAAUAAUUUAUACUAGGAAAUAGGCCAAGAAAUCAAGGAUGGAAAAACGAGAGAGAAGAAAUCUAUGACAUAGUAUACAACUUGGAGAAAUAUUAUCAAAAUUAAAGGUUCAAGAUGUUGAUAGAAUCGGUAUUUAUUAUAGACGUGAAAAAAUACGAUUAAUGUUUGUUUUUAGUUUAAUUUAGUCUUUGCUUUGUUUUAUUUUGCAUGUUUUAGGGCUUUAGUUGUAUUUGUAUGCUUUUUUUUUGUCAUUAAAGGACUGCUAAAAAAAAAAAUAUUGUAAUUGGAAAAACAUCUAUCUGUAGAUGCAAAACGAUAGAAAUAUCUAUGAUAGUUUGCCAUCUUGAAAAAUGGCAAGUAAUGUGAUCAAUAUGCUACGGCAAUUAUGUAAAGCAAAGAGAAAGAAAUUACACUUAAUUUGUUUUUUGUAAAAAAAAAAAAAAAAAAAAACCUUUGAAUGACAUUACACUUUAAACUUUUAAAAAGUCUUUUAUGAAAAAACUUAUAUAUAUAAAAAAACACCCUUCACCAAAUUUGUCCAAGGCGGGUUAAGGGUAAGCUUCCACCAACCUUUGCUAGCAUUUAAUAAUUGCAAGAAAAUGUUCCCUCUUGACUUUGCCGUCCCGCUGGGGACGUAACAUUGUACUAAGAAUUUAUCAGGAUCCAAUGUAUCCAAAGCUCGAAGGUCAUGGGAAGCUGAAACAUUGAUGAUAUGACCCCACGUAUCAUUAUGAUGAUGAACAAGAACUUCCAAUAGCAGACCACUGUUUUGAGCUGCAUGGGAUCAAUCCAAUCAAGCUAGGUGUAAUAUUAUGGUGCCAUUUUGCUUGUAAAUCCUGUUCUAGCCGGGAAAGUGGGUAUGUCCUGUACUAUUUUAAAAAACAAAAUAAGGUGAAGCGAAUUUUAUCCCUAAGAGGAGGAUCUCGAAUCAUUUUGAAUUUGUUGUUCAAAUUUCAAUUAAGAUAUCCUAGGUUUACCCGUUUUCAAAUAAUAUUUUAGCGAUUCAAAAUAAGGUUGUUGAAAGUUACAUCAAUGGAGAGAGGGAUGUUAAGGCUAGGGUUGACGCAAUGAACGGUGAGAGUCGUUCAAGGAGUUGAACUUCAAACAUUUUACCUGAUGCUGCACACAUUUAUAGCUUAUGUACGCUGCCCAUAUGAGAGUCCCAAAUUGGACCCAUUCGUAGCGCUGUUUCUCUGUCAUUCGUCGACUGUAGUUAUCAAUGAACUAGCAAGCUUUAUUAGAGUUCUUGCAUGGCUGACAACAGAUAAGCAAGUUAGGCUCUUAAUGUUGGAUGUGUUUUUGGAUUUCUUGGGCUUUAGCCUAGCUGUUAAUGGCAUGUCUUUGUCAGGUGCCCUACUCAUGCGUAAUUUGGAGACCAUAUGAUAAUAUUUCCAGCAAUUUAUAGAAACUAGCUCCAAGUUCUCGAUCCGUUUUCAUAUUGACAAAGAGAAUGGCCGCACAAGUGCUAAGGGCUCAAGGUUAUCUUUCGUCCUUAAUUUGAUUCCCGACGGGGUUUGCUCACCUUUUUCUGAACACACUCUUCCUGACCUUCCAAUGGUGAACAAGUCAAAUCUUUGAUGGAGAUUUUAGCGAUUAAAUAAGGUUGUUGAAAGUUACAUGAAUGGAGAGAGGGAUGUUAAGGCUAGGGUUGACGCAAUGAACGGUGAGGAUUAGAUAAGGAGAAUGUGGAUGACUUGUGUUCUCUAGUCAAUUGAGGGUUGACAGGUGCAACGAAGGGUAUUAAACGGCAGCACUUAGGCUAUAGAGAAGAAGACUUGGUCCAAGAUCAUGCUAGAUCUUUACAACUUGACAGAAUCAGUCCAUUCCAAAUUCAAGUUUGAUGUUUGUUUUAUUUAUAGGACCAGGAAUAAAUCAUGAUAUUCUUAAAGCAUAACCAAAUUUAAAUACAUACCUACUGUUAUGUUUUUAUAUAUAUAUAUAUAUAAACAUAACAGUAGGUUUAGAUUGACUUUAAAUGAUAAAUAACAUUUUGUAGUUUUAUACCGACGGAAAAUACUCCGUCGGCGAUAUAGUGUAUGACCGACGAUCCAUAUCUGUCGGUAAAGUUGUCGGUGAGUGUUUGAAAUACCGACCGAAUAUAUCCAUCUGUAAAUUCGUCGGUACGUUUAGCAGCUACUGUCAAAUGCCGACGGAUUAAUUCUGUCAGUAACGCUGUCGGUGAGUAUGAAAUACCAACCAAAUGUAUCCGUCUGGAUAUUCAUUGGUGAUGGUGGCAGCUACUGUCAAAUGCCGACGGAUUUAGUCCGUCGGUAAAUCCCUUUGUAAUUGUUUUUUUUUUAAUUUUGUUUUUUAAAAAUUAUUUAGAAUACAUAAUAUAAAAUAAUAUAAAUUAAUGGUAAUAAAAACCAAUUAUGGAAAUAAAAUUUAUAUUAAGCAUCAAAAACAAAAAAUCAAAGUUAAAUAAUAUUCAUUACAAAAUGAAUGUGUUUCAAAAAAACAUUAAACGAAAUUUUAAAUGUAAAUAAUGUUUAUUAAAAAUUAAUAUAAAAGGUGGAGCUGGAGGAGGAGGAGGAGGCUGGCGGUCAUACGGCCAAAAAGGAUUAGGCGCACAUGUUCCACCUUGUGCCAUGUUCAUGACCAUUUCACGAAGCUCUUCAUAGGCCGCUCUUUGUUGUUCAGACUCCGCUCUGUGUUGCUCUUUGAGUUGUUCGUACACCACUCUUUGUUGUUCUUUGAGUUGUGUGUAUGCCUCUGAUAGGUGGUCAUACUUUUCGGUGAGCUGAGCCGUGUGUUGCUGUAAGGCCACAAACUACUUAGAUUGGGAGCUCCUGACGGUUGAAGCACCACUGGCCUACCGCAAGUUGUCGGUCGUAGUGUUGGAGAGCCCAUAAACCUGAUUUUUAUCAAGUCCACCUAACGAUCCAGCCUCCAUCCACAAAUCCAGAUCGAAUUCUGAAUGGGUCAAAGGAUCGUCCCCGUAUCUCUCCCUCAACCGCUUAUUAUAGGUGUCCUGAAAAUAAAAAAAGUAAUCAUCAUAUUCAAUUCAAUAAACAUAAUAAUAACUUACAAAAUAAAAUGGUUGAACAAACAUACCAUAAAAUGUUGAGCAUGGCUGUCAACGAGCUGUUGCGCCCCCUUUUGGCGGUCUUGACUCCGCACGUGCAUCUCCACAAACAGCUCCAUCGGGCUCGGCUCACGUCCAAGACACGUAGCCUAUAAUGAAAAAAAAUUAUUAACAGCAAAUUAAUUGAAUGAUAUAUUUCAUUUAAAUUAAUCUUACCAUUCGUUUCGUAUGUGCAACAAACGGAACGGAGUCGCCGGUGUGCGUUGUCACCGAGCCAUGAAUUGGCCGAUUCGGGUUGCCAGCACCGGACUGUGAGCGUCGUGUGAACCGCUCAGACAUCACGUGCUGAAGAUAGUGCGGCCAUAUAUCUUCCUGGAUGUAUAUCGGUUUGAAAUCCCUCCAAACCGCAACAUCGUUCCAGCCUUGGAACCCCUUCUUCCUCGCAUUGUUUUUUGCUUUUUUUUUAGCUUCGUACCAAAAAUCACGCAACCUACUUCACGCAAGCAAAAAUUACAUUUCGAAACAUAAAUUUUUUUGUAAAAAAAAAAAGUUGUAUUGUUUUCGAUGUUACCUAGUUGCCGCGUGAUUUUCCCAAACCCUCCUCACAACAGUGUUAUGUUCAUCGUCCCAGCAGAAUCGGUUCUGUGUAUAAAAAAUUAAUUUUUUAAAAUGUUAAUAAUUUAUUUACAAUUAUAUUAAGAAUUUAUUAGAAAUAAACUGAAAAUUAUAUAUUAACACGAACCUGAAAUCUAGAAAACCAUGCAUUGAUUUGAGGCAUUCAUUCAGGAUGCCUCGAUAUCUAACUCUAUUGAAACAAUGGAAUCUCCAUCGACGAUUUAAACGCCGAUGAUAUUACUCGGGCAGCCUCAAUGUUUGUGAACUUGAAAAGAAAUGAAAUUAAGGAAAUAGUGACUAUUUCAUAAAUUAUGUUUUAAAUUUGUUUAAAAAAACAACACAAAAACCUUAACAAACCUACAUUGAAAGAUCGUCUUUCCAUUGUGCCUCGUACUUGUGGGUAAAUUGAUUCCGCUACGAAGGCACGCCGCUUAUGCGCUGUGAAACAGCGCUGGAAGAGGCAGCAUCGAUUGACGGCGCAGGUGGUGUAGGUGCCUCUUCUUGAGAGGCACCUAAGGAAAUAUCAUCCUCGCUGCUAGACGAACUUGAUUCGACCGGACGUGAACGACCAGCCCUGGUUUUCAUUUUGCGCAUCUACUCAAUUUUAUAUACAUAAUUAUAUAAUUAAAUGUAAAUGUUAAAAAAAAUUCGACAGCACCUCCCCUAUACUGGAUACUACCCAAAUCCACAAACUUACAAAUAUUAACAAUAGCCACAACCAAUUGACCCAAUCUAUUGACCCAAUCUAUACUAAUUAUUUUAACAUAUUCAAUUACUAAUCCUAAGGUAAAUUCAACAUUAACAAUUACAAUUCAACAAAUUAUUCAAUAAUUAUGCCAAUACAACAAAACAAUAAAUUCAAAAUAAAUAGAAACAAUUAAACACAAAUCAUGCAAUAAUAGAGUAAAAUUAAUAAUUCUUCCAACAUAUUCAAUUACUAAUUCUAAGGUAAAUUCAACAUUAACAAUAUUAAUUCAACAAAUUAUUCUAUAAUUAUGCCAAUACAACAAUAAAAUAUAUUCAAUAAAUGAAAAAAGAAUUAUAGCCUAACAAUUAAAAUCAAUGGAAACAAUUAAACACAAAUCAUGCAAUAAUAUAGAAAAAUUACUAAUUAUUCCAACAUAUCCAAUUACUAAUUCUAAGGUAAAUUCAACAUUAACAACAAAUAAUCAACAAAUUAACUAAUAACAAUUAUGCCAAUACAACAAUAAAAUAUAUUCAAUAAAUUAAAAAAAAAUUAUAAACUAACAAUUAAAAACAAUGGAAAUAAUUAAACACAAAUCAUGCAAUAAUAUAGUAAAAUUAAUAAUUAUUCCAACAUAUGCAAUUACUAAUUCUAAGGUAAAUUCAACAUUAACAACAAAUAUUCAACAAAUUAACUAAUAACAAUUAUGCCAAUACAACAAUAAAAUAUAUUCAAUAAAUUAAAAAAAAACUAUAGACUUUAGGGAAGAAAUAUGCAUACCUUAAUAAUUUGUUGAAACAAAAACUUUAUCUACAUUACAAAAAAAUACACCAAAACAAAAAAACAUAAAAAUAAUAAAAUAACGAAAAAUAAAAUAAAAUGAAAUAGGAAAAAACACAUACCUUUUAAUGUGAUGGAGAUUCACAACAAAGCUUGCUAGAGAUUCUAGGUGAAAGACUUGAAGAUUUGAGAGGAAACAAAUCAAAAUUCUAAGGUGAGAAACGGAGGAGAAGAAAAAAAGAACUAAAGGGGCGGACGCAAGAACUUAUAGGGCAGUUUUACCGACGGAAAUAAAAAUUAUUAUUAUUUAAAUUAAAUUCGUCGGUAACGUGUUAAAAAUCCGUCGGCAAUUUUUGAAUUUCGCGGUUCGUCGGUAUGCUGACUCGGUUAGAGGUUCAUUCAAUGCAGACCCUUUGGAAUUCGCACAUUCCGUCAGUAUUUUUGUCGGUAAGAUUUUCCCACCGACAAAUUACUGACGGCCAUAAUUACGUCGGUGAGGUCGUCGGUGAUUGUGGCGUUUCGCGUAAUUAUUGACGAACACUUUGUGAGAUGCCGACGGACUUUAGUCCGUCUAAAGUCCGUCGGUGAAUCCGUCAAUAUGGGCGUCGGUGAUUGUGGCAUUUCGCGUAAUUAUUUUCGAACUCUCUGUGAGAUACCGACGGAUAUAAUUACGUCGGUGAGGUCGUCGAUGAUUGUGGCAUUUCACGUAAUUAUUUUUUAAAUCUAUGUGAGAUGCCGAUGGACGUGAGUCCGUCGGUGUGUGUGUCGGUGAAUCUGUCGGUACGACGUCGGUGAUUGUGGCAUUUCACGUAAUUAUUUUCGAACUCUCUGUGAGAUGCCGACGGAUGUUAUUCCGUCGGUAUGGACGUCGGGAAGUUUGCAUUUUACAGGAAAAGUUGUAUUUGUAUUGCCUAUUUACCUUUCUACAAAAACUUAACUGAUAAACUGUCCAUCGCAUAAAACAAUAACAACAGUGCUUAAGCAAUAAAUAUUUUGUGUUACAAAAUAUAUCAUCCAUAAUCUAAAUUACAUGAAAAAAAAGGGUUUUACAUAGGGCUUCAUUUUGAUAGUUAGUCGGAAUUUUCUUCUUCUUCCUCAUCAAUUGAAUUGUCAUCACCUUCAUCGCAAUCUUUAAUAUGGAUAUCAUCUUCUUCAUUGACAUUUGCUUGUCCGCUAGAGCUCAGAACAACAUUCAACUCCUCUGCAUCAAUAUCAACAAGACUAUCAUCGAAAACAUGAAAAUUUGAAUUUUCUUCCAAUUCAAUCGAAGGAGCAACUCGAUAUGGUUCAACCAACUCACUAACUUGAAAGACUUCAUCUCGCACACUUGUGUCUUCGUUCUCAUCCUGAACAACCUCGACAUGACCCCGUGGUUUUGUUUUUAAAAUGGACAACCAAUUAACUCUUGAUCGAUCCUUUCUAAAUGAAAGGGUGUAUGUGUAAUAAACUUGUUGACAUUGCUUUGCGAAAACAAAGACAUUGUUUAUGUUGCGAAGUCUAGCUUUUGAGUUGAUUUCGACCAGACCAUAGUGUUGUAACCCAUUUUUGGGUCCCCACAUAAAAAAUAAUAAAAUACAAAAAAAUUCAAAAAAUUCAAAAAAAUAUAUUAUCAAAAAAUAUAACAGUGAAAAAAUGCCAGAGCGCCCUAAAAAUGCUCAAAAAUUGAUUGAGGAUGUUCAAAAAUCAAAAAUUAAUUUUUGACAGUAUAUCAUUGACUGAUGAGAGCCCCGAUGAUAAAGAAAAUUCAAUUUGUGGAAGAAAAAUGCAAAAUCAGAAGUUUAUGGACUCAAUUAAAUUUUAUUAAAGGUUUAAUUGCAUUUAUGAAGGUUUUAAUUGCAAAAACAAUUGAUUUUGGAGUUAUUUUGGGCUUUAAUUGGAAGAAAUUAAUUUUCUGGGGUCAAAUUAUAAUUUUCUUUCCCGUUUUUCGCGCAAUAAGACGCCCGCAAUCACCCACUUGUAUCCUCCUUUUUAUCCUUCUGAGUUGAUAGUAGAGGGGCGGCCGACAGUGGCCGCCCCACCACGACACCGCCCCCCUAUUUUUGCCUAUAAAAACAGGGGAGGGGCACCGAGAAAAAAAAAAACAAAGAACAAAAGGGAGAGGGAGACAAACCGAGAUAGAAGAGAAGAGAAGAGAGAGGGCAGAGAAGAAGAAGAAGGAGAAGAAGCAGCAGGGAAGAAAACGAAGAAAAACAGAAGAGAGAGAGAGAGAGAGAGAACCACCGCCGGCCUCCGCCACCGUGCCUACGCCGCCAGCAGCACCGCCACGACGUCACCGCAGGUAAUCUCUCGCCGCCCUGUCGCCUUCUCUGUUUGCUGCCUCCCUCAUUUGCAUGCAGAACAUGAAUAAAUUCACGUUCUGCAGCUGAAGAGGGCUGGUUACUGUGCUUAGGCACAGUAACCAGCCCAUUUGGUAAUGGGCCGGGUUGGCCCAUAUCAAUGGGCUGGGCCGGACCCGGCCCAUUUCAAUUUAUUUUUUUCUCAGAAGUUUUUUACAAUUUUUUUGGCACAUUUUUUUUUAUCAAUUUUGCUUAAUAUCGGUCUGUAUUUUACAUCGUAAAAAUAUAAAUUCGGUAUUAAAAUACUCGGUUUUCAUACGGUACUGUUCACACAACAACAAAAAAUCAAAAAUAUUUGUUUCAGCAUUUUAUAAUUUUUCCACGUAGUUUUUUAUGUCAUUUUGAUUAAUAUCGGGCAGUAUUUUUACAUCGUAAAAAUAUAAAUCCGGUAUUAAAAUACCCGGUUUUCGGCAAAAACUUCAAAAAAUAAAAAAAAUUGAAAAAAGAUAAAAAAAUGUUUUUGUGCAUACGGCCAAGUGUCUCAAAUCUAAAAUAUCAUAUUGUAUUUUUCAUAUGUCAAAAAACAAUAUUUUAGCAUGCAUUUUGGCUUUAAUAACCAGUUUAUUAAAGUCAAGAGAACAUUGGCCAAAAUCUCAAAAACAACAAAUAUUUUAUUUUGUUUGAUUUUAGUAUCAGGGAUUAUGAAUUUAUACGUAAAUCGUAUUCCUGAUAUUAAAAAGAUAUUUUCUUUUGACGGCUUCGAAUAGUUAGUUUUUUACCCGAUAAAGAUAAGGAUCUCCUUACAGGAGGACUUUUCUUAAACCGUAAACGAACCAACAAUUCAAAAACCACAACACGAUUUUAGAUUUUAUCAGACAUUAAAACAAUGCAGCCUACCUUAGGUAGGGCGUAGUUGGGGUGCUAAUACCUUCCCUUUACGCAACCAGUCUCCGUACCCGAUCUCUAAAGACCGAUUAAGGUUCCUAGUAACCAAAACACUAGGUGGCGACUCCCAUUCCAAUUUUUCACUUGUAGAGACAAGAAUUCCUUGUCUCUCCCUUUUUUCCAGGAAUAAAUAUUCCAAUUUUUCCUUGAGGGUGGACGAUCGCCGCGCCGCCGCACACGUGCGACACAUAGUGCGGAUGAACUCUGAUUCCUCUGUCUGUCGUGUCAUACCAAUAGUAUUUGAAUAAAAACACUUUAUUCUGCUCGCUAUGAUAUUGCAGUUCGAUGACCUCAUCUAAUCUACCAUAGUAGUCAACUUCUAACUCACUACUUGUGGAUUCCUUAACACAAACACCGUAGUUGUAUGUCUUUCUUCCUUGCCCGUAUUCUUCAGUUUGGAAAGCAUAUCCAUUGACAAAAUACCCGUUGUAGCACUUAACUUUUCUUUCAGGCCCAAGGCUUAGUGAAGACAAUGACUUAGGCACACUCAUUCCCAUUUGAUAAACCUUAUAUAUAUGUAAUGUACAUCAAUAAACAGUAAAUGAACGAGAAUCUCGUAAUGACAUGCAUACGUACAGUAAUUUUGCAAGUUAGAAUGAGUUUGUGAUAAUGCUUACAUGUGUUCUGAACCAUGUGGCAAAUUGUUCAUCUUCUAAUUGAAAGAUCUGGGAUUCGGUCAGCUGCGAGUUAUUGGAGAGCAAAUAUUAUCGAUGUUGCCUGCAAGUGAUAAUGAGUGUAUGAUAUUACAAUAUAUAAUUAGCAGUAUAUAACUGACAAAGUUUAAUUAGUAUUACACAUAUAUAAACUUACUAAAUAAAUGGUCUCAACUCAUCACAGUUAAAUAGAACAUAGUUGUGUACUUGUUUGAAUUAUAUUUCCGACAAAUAUCUUCCUUUUAUGAUAUUUUUAGGUGUGGGUCGUCCAGUAUUGGAGAAUAUUGACAAGUUUCCACUAGAAGGCACUUCACCGCCAUCAUCAUGCCGUGGAACGCGAUUGAUUCUUAUUCUCAGAUGAAGUUUGAAAUAGUAUGAGAUAAAUGUUGAGAUCUCCUCAACAAUAUAGGCCUCAGAUAUCGAAGCCUUAACAUGCGCCUUGUUCUUAACCUUUUUCUUGAGAUUAAACAAGUACCUGCAUUGAAUUACAAUUCAAGUAUUUUCAAUUAAGAAAAACAUAGAAAAUACUUUUAUAUAUGAAUUCCAUUGCAACUGUAAUAUCUAACCGUUCGAAUGGGUACAUCCAUCUAUACUGGACCGGUCCUCCAGCUUUUGCCUCGAACGGUAGAUGUAUACGGAGAUGCUCCAUUGAGUCAAAAAAUGAAGGAGGAAAUAUCAUCUCAAGUUUGCAUAGUGUCUCGACGAUAUUCAUUUGAAGCCUCUUAAUGUGCUCAACAUUCAACUUGCUGGAGCAUAUAUCUCUGAAGAAAUGACUGAUCUUCGUCAGUGCAUCCCAUAUUCCCUUUGGCAACAAAUCACGAAAAGCUAAUAGGAUGAGUGUUUACAUAAACACGUGGCAGUCAUGACUCUUCAUUCCAUACAAUCUGCAGUCCUUUAUGUUAACAAGCCUUGAUAUGUUCGAUGCAUGUCCAUCCGGAAAACGCAGACUCUUAAGCCUUUUGUAAACUAGCAGUUGUGCGUUUUUCUCUAACACGAAGCUUGCCUUUGCUUUUGCGACUCGUGACUGCUCAUAAACCAACUCCAUAUUUUUACGGUUAUAGUAUAAAUCUAUAUCCAAUCUAGCCUUGAUGUUGUCCUUUGUCUUCCCCUUCACAUCCAUGACUGUGUUGAAAAUAUUCUCAAACACGUUUUUUUCGAUGUGCAUGACGUCAAGGUUAUGGCUAAGAAGAUUGGUCUUCCAAUAAGGAAGCUACCAAAAGAUACUUCGCUUUACCCAGUUAUGGGUCAAACCAAAACCAGGAAACUUUUGCUUACGUAAUUGAAGGCUAAAAACAAUGUCACCGUACUCUGAUACAACAUGGUGCAAUUCUUCACCAGAAAGACGCGGGGAUGCAACAUCUUUUUCAACUCUGCCAACAAAGAAAUCUUUUCUGUUCUCUCUGUACCUAUGAUUAAGUGGAAAGAAGCGACGAUGACAGUAAAAAAUAAAAGCUUUACCUCCGUUUGCUAGUGUGAAUGCCUUGUUGUUUUCCAUGCAGUAUGGACAUGCGAGUUUCCCAUGCGUGCUCCAACCAGAAAGAAUUCCAUAAGCUGGAAAAUCAUUGAUAGUCCACAUCAAAGCCGCCCUCAUAAUGAAAUUUUGUUUCCUCAAUAUAUCAUAAGUCAGAGCUUCGGAGGACCACAACUGCGCCAGCUCAUCAAUCAAUGGUCGAAGACAAACAUCUAUAUUCCGCCCCGAGCUGCUUGGACCGGGUAUGACAGUAGAUAAAAACAUGAACUUCAGCCUCAUACACAUUCCUGGUGGCAAGUUAUAAACUGUGAGUAUGACCGGCCAACAAGAACAGGAAGAAGCAAAUGACCCUACUGGGUUGAAUCCGUCUGUACACAACCCAAGAUGCACAUUCCUUGCCUCAGCUAAAAAGUGAGGAUGCACACUAUUAAAGCAUUUCCACGCUUCACCGUCAGAAGGAUGCACCAUCACACCAUCAACCAUAUCAUGUGCUUGGUGCCAUGUCAUGUGCUCAACAGUCCUUGGUGACAUGAAUAACCUCUGCAGUCUAGGUGUGAUCGGGAAGUAUAUAAGUUUUUUAUAUGCCACUAGAGUCUUUUCCCUGCUAGUUCUGAGUUUGUAACGGGAAUGCCCGCAUGUCAUGCACUCGGUCAUCUCAGCAUUUUCAAGGUAGUAUAACAUGCAGAAGUUAGGGCACAUGUCAAUUUUCUGGUAUCCUAAACCGAGGGGUUUCAUCAUGGACUUCGCAGUAUAGAAGUUCUCUUUCAGCCUGUUCCCUUUAGGUAAAAUGCUUCUCGCCUAUUCAAUAAUUUUGUCAUACCCGGCCUCACUAAACCCGUGAUCUGACUUUAUGGUGAACACCUGUGCCAUGGUCGAUAAUUUACUGUGGUUUGUGCAGCCAUCCCAUAAUGGUUCAUCAAAAUCUUUCAACAAAUCAAAAAAUCUACCUGCAUUUGUAUUAGGUUCUUUUUCUACGAUUGGACAUUGACUGACAUUACCUUGAUUCAUUCUCAUUGCAUCCAUAACCAUAUAUCUGUAAGGAUUAGUUUUGUCAUUUGCCACUUCAUGCACGUUGCUAGCACUAGAAGUUGACCCAAGCAUCGUUUCUCCCAUUCUCCUAUUACUAACAAAUACAUCUCCAUGUGCAUACCAACACUAGUAAUCCUCCAUAAACCCUUUGUGUAAAAGAUGCAUCAUUACAACAUCUAGAUACAGAUACUUUUUAUUUUGACACUUCCUGCAUGGACACCUAAUACCGCCUCCAAUAAAAUUUCUGGGAAUAGAUGUUGCGAAAUUAAUAAAACCCUGAACCCCGUUACAAUAAUCCAUCCUCCGCAAUCCUUGGGGUGAAUCUAGAUACAUCCAUGAACGAUCAUCUAUGACUUCUAUCGAACCUCUAUAAAAUUAUGAUGACAUCAUGUAUUAAUUAACUAAGUUAGGUAAAUAAACUUGCAAAAAUAUUACUUUACCUCGAGAUUAUCCAACAAACCAAUCACAACUUCUCAUAAAUAUUAAAUAUUCAUUAUCAUUUAUCAACGUCCAUACAAAUUAAUAUAUAUAAACUUAUGGAAAUUACCAAACCACAAUACCAUCGAUAAAACUUAAAAUGGACCCAUUAAGCAAGCUAUUAAUUAUUUCAAAACAGCACAUGUAAUUCGGUAAUUCCAUAAAGUUUUAACAAUUUACAAACAAAUACAAUCUUACAAAAUCUAAAACAAACCAUAACAGGUAUAAAAUUAUACAUUCAUAUACUACAAGUUUGUUUGAGAAAUAACAAUAAAAUAUGUACAUCUACUAACAAAAUACAUAUAAUAAAAAAAACAACAAAAUUGACAUUUAAAUGUUAAAAUUUAAAAAGAUAGAAUUACUUACAAAAAUUGAUAAAAUUCGUUAGCAAAUCAGAACACGGAUGUUGUGACCACAAAACUUCAAGAAAUAUAACUUGUUGUGCUGAGAUGAGGAAGAUUUUUGUUUGGGUGCUGGUUGUUUGCAGAUGGGGAGAGUUGGGAUUAGGAAGAAGAAGGAGAAAUAGGAGAGGAGAGGGUCGGCAGGUAGGGAAUUAUAUUAACUUUUUUCCGACGGUUUCACUGACGGAUUAUUUCGUCGAUGAGUCUGCGGCUUUUCUGACGGAAAAAUCGACACGUCACCUUACGGAUCUGCCAUUUCAAAUUCGUCGGUAUUUUUUACGGUGAACCAGUCACGUCACUGUACGGGCCUGCCAUUUUGAAUCUGUCGGUGAUUCCGUCGGAAAAAACCACCCUGCCAAAACUUCCACGUCAGCGACUGAUACUCUCUGAUAAAAGCAUAAGCCAAACUUGUGUAUAUAUAUUCCUCAUUAAUGUAUUACCUUAUAUGUGUAUAUUGAACGUUAUCUACUCAAUGAGUUGUUGAACUCAUCCUCUUGUUAUUUAUUAUUUUUAGGCUUAUAGCUUCGUUAAUAGGUCGCUUUUGUGGACUUUUAGAACAUGCUCUUUGUUGCAAUUAACAUUAUUUCGUUAUGUCUAGUUAGAGCUCUACAAUUACAUAAUUUGUAUUAACUUUAUUAUAAAGACAUUGAUUUACAUUAUUAUCAUUGUUCCGUUACUCUAAAUGAGUUAAUAGGAAGAGAAGUUUGUAUAUAUGAUUAGGUUUGCAUAGGUAAAGAACCUGGUGGAGGCCUUGUCUAUUUGUCGGUCAUGGAUCCAAGGUUCGGGUCAUGACAAUUAACUUCCUAAAAAAAGCAUGAUUUAUAAUCAAUUAUAUAUAAAAAAAGUGUUCUAUUAUUAAGACUCGUCUAAUUAGUUUUCAUUUACUAGAAAAUGCAAACUUUCUUUCUGCACUUUUUACCAGGUGAGGUGCUUCCGGUCUAAUAACCCGAGUUAUAGGUUUAGAAAGUUAACGCUGGUUAAUAAUUUUUUUCUACUUAUUUUCUUUUCUGAUUUCAUUAUUUGACAUUGAUUUUUUUUUAAUAGGCUUUAUAGUUUUUUUUGUUUUUUUUAAAUAAGAUUAUAUUAUUUUCAUAACCUGAACUAUAAAUUUAAUAUAUUAUCCUGGGUUAACUCAAUCCUUUUCCGACCGCGCGGUAGUGCAGGUGGGCAUUAGUGCAAUAGCUAUUUGAAGGUUUUUUUUUUUUUCCAACGGGUAAAGUUAUGUUAGAGUUAGUUUAUACAUUAACUGACGCUAAAUCUUAUAAAUCUUUUCUCGAGAGAUCUUAAAAACAUAUCCUCUGCAUCAAUCCUAGUAUAUUUAAUAAAUUUCAGUAAAUGUUUGUCUUAAAAUUUGGCGCAGAACAAAUAGUUAGAGUUGCUAUUUGAAGUGGUGAAAUGGUAAUAAUAAUAUGACAGACUUCUACUCUUUCUCCGUUGAUCAAUGAAUUAAUUCAUUCAUAAAAAAAGAUAAAUUCAUGUAGGUGCGAUAGAUCUAUGGGUCAACUUCAGUGAGCUGUUAAGGUUUUACUCCCUACCCUCACUUGUACUGCUGUUCAUACCAUAUAAGGCUAUUUCCACUACUCUACAAGCUUGAUAAUAAUGGAGAUCGCUAUGCGUACAGGCCUGAUUAAUUCAUUUACUAGCAUUACAAUGCUUUUGGUUUGCAUCUUCUUACUCUUUUUAUCAGUAGCCUUUGCUGCACAAGUCAGUAUCACUUCCAAUGAAUCCAUUAAAGAUGGCGGGAGCACUCUAGUUUCAGCAAAUGGAACUUUUGAACUGGGUUUUUUUAGCCCAGGAAAUUCAAUGAAUCGAUUUUUGGGAGUAUGGUACAAGAAUGAAGCUCAUAAAGAAGUUAUUUGGGUUGCCAAUAGAGAAAUUCCGCUUAAGGAUCGUUCUGGAUUUCUAAAUUUCACCCAGCAAGGAGUUUUGCUUCUUCUCAACGGAAACAACAAAAUAAUUUGGUCAUCCAACAAAACAACAAAUGUUGAGAGUCCAGUUGUGCAGCUAUUGGAUACAGGAAAUCUAGUUGUGAAAGAUGGGAAGGAUAAUAACUCCAUUUUAUGGCAGAGUUUUGAAUAUCCUUGUGAUACGUUUCUACCAGGAAUGGUGAUCGGAGGGGAUUCACAAACUGGUGUGGAUAGAAACCUGAGAUCAUGGAAGAGCGCAGACGAUCCUGGUCCAGGCCAAUUUUCAUAUGGGAUAGAUCGUCAGGGGUUUCCACAGCUAGUCAUCAGGAAUGGAACUUCGACGCACUGUAGGCUGGGUUCAUGGAAUGGAAUAAGUUUCAACUGGAUUCCUGAUCUGCCUGAUCUGUACUUGAAGUUUGAUUUUAUUUUGAACAAGACUCAUGUAGAUUAUAGUUAUGAAUUCCGGAGACCGGGUUCAUUGUUGACGAGGUUAAUUGUGAAUCAGUCAGGAUUCGUGGAACGCUUUGCACGUUCAAUUCAAGCUAAUGGUUGGACAAGUUCGUAUAAGGUACCAAGAGAUCUCUGUGACAAAUAUUCAGUAUGUGGUGCACAUAUGAUUUGCAAAAUGGUCGAUCAAUCCCACAAUUGUACUUGCUUGGAAGGAUUUGAACCCAAAUCUCUUACAGAUUGGAGUGAAGGGUGUGCUAGAAGGAGUCCAUUGAAUUGCACACAGGACAUCUUUCACAAUUUUAUAGGGCUUAAGUUGCCGGAUACAUCCCUUUCCUGGUAUGAUACAAGCAUGAGUCUAGUAGAAUGCAAGGACAAGUGUCUAAAAAACUGCAGUUGCACGGCAUAUGCAAAUUCAAAUAUCACAGGAGAAGGCAGUGGCUGCAUACUCUGGUUUGGUGAAUUGGUUGAUAUCAGAGAGUUCAGUCCAGGGGGCCAAGACCUCUACAUAAGGAUGCCACCACCUUUGAAAACAGGUAUUUAUCAAUAUUCUUCCCAUGAUUCUCAAGCAGGGUAUUUUUUUCACUCUUUCUCUCUGUUUCUUUUUUUCUUUUUCUUUUUUUGAAAUGAGGAAGUUGUAUGUUCCUUAAAUGUUUUCCUAACUUCGUGUCCUCAUUUCCUCAUUCUAUUUACAAAUAAAACAGAACUCCUUUCUGUGUUUAUUGUGGGUUUUCAGAUCAGACGACGUCCAACACAAAUUCUGGUAAGAAGAAGCUUUUAGGAAUCAUACUCGGUUCCACACUCCUUGCUGGAGUGCUUACGGUAGGACUAACCUUCUAUAUAUGGAGAAAGAAGCAGAGAAAGCAAGGUAGUGUACUUUGGACAAUUCUUCUUAUUCCAGAACAUGGACCUUGUUGAUAUAUAUAGUAUACAUGGUAGAUUACUAAUAUUGUAGAAUUUUAUGUUAGUCAUCGAUAACAAAAUGAAGCAUUUGUUAGAUCAUGUUGUUAGUCAAAUUAGCUUUGAUAAGGAGAAGCUGUUCGUUUAUCAAUCUUCUGCUAUUCAGAAAUAGAGGAAGACAUGGAGUUACCAUCGUUUCAUUUGGCCACCAUAGUGAAAGCAACGGAUAACUUUUCAAGCAACAACAAGUUGGGACAAGGUGGUUUUGGACCGGUAUAUAAGGUAUAUAACAACGUGCUUCAAAGCUGAGAGAUCAUCUACUAUGAGAUAUUCUAACUUCAGUAAAUAACGAUUCGCAGGGUACAUUGAUUGAUGGGCAAGAAAUAGCAGUGAAAAGACUUUCAAAAAGUUCUCGGCAAGGAUUGACAGAGUUCAAGAAUGAAGUUAUCUUGAUAGCUAAGCUUCAGCACAGAAAUCUUGUUAAACUUCUUGGCUGUUGCAUUCAAGGAGAUGAAGUCAUGUUGAUCUAUGAAUUCAUGCCCAACAAAAGCUUAGAUUAUUUUAUUUUCGGUUUGUACCCCAUGAACUGGUUAGAGUUUCUUGCAGUUAGAUUGCUUGUUCUAUGAUGUUUCAUUUAUACAUCAGAAUAACAUAACAUUAUGAUAAAUUGAUUAGAUCAAACAAGAAACAAAUUCCUGGACUGGCAGAGACGUAACCUCAUUAUCGGUGGCAUUGCUAGAGGACUACUUUAUCUUCAUCAAGACUCUAGACUAAGGAUUAUCCAUAGAGAUCUCAAAGCCAGCAACAUAUUAUUAGAUAAGGAUAUGCACCCCAAAAUUUCAGAUUUCGGAAUGGCUAGACUGUUUGGAGGAGACCAAAUUGAAGCAGACACAAAUAAAGUGGUCGGAACAUAGUAAGUACACUCUACACCUAUUUUGUUACAUUUAAACUUUUUCUGAUAAUGUUUUUCCGCAGUGGAUACAUGCCCCCUGAGUACGUUGUUGAUGGGCGUUUCUCACUGAAAUCCGACGUCUUCAGCUUCGGUGUUUUAGUCUUGGAGAUAAUAAGUGGGAAGAAAAAUAGAGGAUUCUCCCACCCGGAUCACUGCCAUAAUCUUCUUGGACAUGUAAGGAUAAAAUUAAACAUGUUAAUUUAAUUUAAUUAUGUAUUAACAAUUUUUAUCAUAACAAGUUUUUGUUUUCAAGGCAUGGAAACUGUGGACGGAAGAGAGGGCAUUGGAGCUUCUUGACAAUAUGUCAGAUCGCCCGUAUUCUGUAUCUGAAGUAUUGAGAUGCAUUCAUGUGGGUCUGCUAUGCGUGCAACAAAAGCCGGAAGACAGACCAAAUAUGUCAUCUGUGGUUUUGAUGUUGGGCAGUGAGAAUUCAUUGCCUGACCCAAAGCAACCUGGUUUUUUCACGGAAAGGAAUAUGCCCGCAGUGGACUCUUCAUCAGGAAAUCAUGAAUCAUCGUCUAUAAAUGACCUAACUAUUUCAGAGCUAGAUGCACGGUAGAAGAUUGGCUCUGAUGGUUAAAAGGAAGAGCUAUAUAUAUAUAUAUAUAUGUAUGUAUAUUCUAGCCAAAUCCAAGGCAUAUAACAGAAAUUAAAUAUUUUCUGCUAUAAUUAUGUUGAUGUAUUAUUUUUACCUGUCUACAAGUCCUCUGCAAGUACUAGUGCGAAUACAGAUAGACAGAAUGCUUGAGGAUUCACAUCUCUGGACUGCACAAUAUCUGUACUUGUUUGCUUCGAGCCGUCGAAUUUAAUGCACGGAUCUGGGUUCAAGAUCUAUAUAUGCUAGAGCCUCACUGGCUUCUAACCCAAAAAGAAUCCAUUAGAAUUGUCAAUAUAUAAUUAGUAAAAAAAAAUUACAUACAAUUUAAACAAUCCAAAUUUAUAAUUCAAAUUUACAUUAUAUUUUUCAUAACAUGUUAAAAAAAUAUAUUUUUAACAACCAUACAAGGAGCUAUAGUCUUUCCUUGAUUGAUUUCAUAGCACCUUAAACUUAGCCUUGACCUAACCCUUUUAGGGAUAAAUAUUAUAGGUACGAGUACCUUGAUGAUACUUAGCCUUUGUAGGGGAAUCCGACCGGUGAUGUUUUGAUAUUUGCUCAUAGUAGGCUAAGCACACUAACACAAUAUUUAACGUGGUUCAACAAACCGCCUACAUCCACGGGAGAAACCAUUUGAUUAUAUAGGGAGAGAACAAGAUUUACAACAGUAGAGGAGGAGGAAUCAUCCCCUCUUUGGCAACUCUCAACCUCACUCUAUUUGAUGUUGGGCAGUGAGAAUUCAUUGCCUGACCCAAAGCAACCUGGUUUUUUCACGGAAAGGAAUAUGCCCGCAGUGGACUCUUCAUCAGGAAAUCAUGAAUCAUCGUCUAUAAAUGACCUAACUAUUUCAGAGCUAGAUGCACGGUAGAAGAUUGGCUCUGAUGGUUAAAAGGAAGAGCUAUAUAUAUAUAUAUAUGUAUGUAUAUUCUAGCCAAAUCCAAGGCAUAUAACAGAAAUUAUAUAUUUUCUGCUAUAAUUAUGUUGAUGUAUUAUUUUUACCUGUCUACAAGUCCUCUGCAAGUACUGGUGCGAAUACAGAUACACAGAAUAAUGCUUGAGGAUUCACAUCUCUGGACUGCACAAUAUCUGUACUUGUUUGCUUCGAGCCAACGAAUUUAAUGCACGGAUCUGGGUUCAAGAUCUAUAUAUGCUAGAGGCUCACUGGCUUCUAACCAAAAAGAAUCCAUUAGAACUUUGGAUAGAUUUAUGUAUUUCCUACAAUUCAGUAAUUGUUUUAUAUUGAAAAAUUUUAUUCUGAGUCUAUUUAUUUUUUUAUGUUAUUAAUUUAUUGAUUUAUAUUAUCUUUUUCUCUUACAUUUUAUUUAAAUCACUCAUUAAUUAUAAUGUUGUUGACUUUCUUCGUUAGAUUUUAAUGUAAUUUAAUUUUUUGGCUAGAAUUGUGAAUAUAUAAUUAGUAAAAAAAAAUUACAUACAAUUUAAACAAUCCAAAUUUAUAAUUCAAAUUUACAUUAUAUUUUUCAUGACAUAUUAAAAAAAUAUAUUUUUAACAACCAUACAAGAAACUAUAGUCUUUCUUGAUGGAUUUCAUAGCACCUUAAACUUAGCCUUGACCUAACCCUUUUAGGGAUAAAUAUUAUAGGUACGAGUACCUUGUUGAUACUUAGCCUUGACCUAACAAAUUUUCAUAUCAUAAUUUCAAAAAUUUGAAAAUAGAAAUAAAAUGCAAAAACUAAAAUACAAAAUCAAAAAUAAAAUGAUAUCAAAAAACCCUUCUAACUUUUCUUUUUUAUGUAAGGGUUGAAUUAUAUUAACUCAAUUAACCCAUCUUUCUAAAUUAAGUUAUAUAUUUUUUAAUAAUUUAUGUAUUUUAUCUCAAAUAGAUAAAACAUUAAAAAUAGAAGAGUUAUUAUGGAUCCCACAAAAUAAUAGUUGUAAAGCAUAUAUAGCUUGAUAUUAUGACAAAAAGAUGUCAUAUUGACGUUUUAAUUAACUUAUUAUGUUAUAAUGGAGGAACCUUUACAAAAUAAAAUAAAGACAAGAGGGAUUUAAUCAAUAUUAAAAUAUAAAAAGAGUAGUUGCUAUAAAAAUAAAUAAAUUGAAGAGUACAAAGAUGAAAUAUGAGUGGAACAUGCUAUGUAAUAUGAAUUUUAUGGUUUCGUCCAAACUGGCCACAACAAUCAUAUGGUUUCGUUCAAAGUUCAAACUCGUGUAUGGAUGGGCUUCAAAUGAAAGCCUCUAAUGGAUUUUGGAAAAAGAAUAAUUUAUACUAGGAAAGAGGCCAAGAAAUCAAGGAUGGCAAAACGAGAGAGAAGAAAUCUAUGACAUAGUAUACAACUUGGAGAAAUAUUAUCAAAAUUAAAGGUUCAAGAUGUUGAUAGAAUCGGUAUUUAUUAUAGACGUGAAAAAAUACGAUUAAUGUUUGUUUUUAGUUUAAUUUAGUCCUUGCUUUGUUUUAUUUUGCAUGUUUUAGGGCUUUAGUUGUAUUUGUAUGCUUUUUUUUGGUCAUUAAUGGACUGCUAAAAAAAAAAUAUUGUAAUUGGAAAAACAUCUAUCUGUAGAUGCAAAACGAUAGAAAUAUCUAUGAUAGUUUGCCAUCUUGAAAAAUGGCAAGUAAUGUGAUCAAUAUGCUACGGCAAUUAUGUAAAGCAAAGAGAAAGAAAUUACACUUAAUUUGUUUAUUGUAAAAAAAAAAAAAAAAAAAAACCUUUGAAUGACAUUACGAUUAAAAUUACACUUUAAAUUUUUAAAAAGUCUUUUAUGAAAAAACUUAUAUAUAUAAAAAAAACACCCUUCACUAAAUUUGUCCAAGGCGGGUUAAGGGUAAGCUUCCACCAACCCUUGCUAGCAUUUAAUAAUUGCAAGAAAAUGUUCCCUCUUGAUCCAAAAGGGUAGUAGUUGUUGACUUUGCUGUCCCGCUGGGGACCUAACAUUGUACUGAGAAUUUAUUAGGAUCCGAUAUUUCCAAAGCUCGAAGGUCAUGGGAAGCUGAAACAUUGAUGAUAUGAUCCCACGUAUCAUUAUGAUGAUGAACAAGAACUUCCAAUAGCAGACCACUGUUUUGAGCUGCAUGGGAUCAAUCCAAUCAAGCUAGGUGUAAUAUCAUGGUGCCAUUUUGAUUGUAAAUUCUGUUCUAGCCGGAAAAGUGGGUAUGUCCUGUACUAUUUUAAAAAACAAAAUAAGGUGAAGUGAAUUUUAUCCCUAAGAGGAGGAUCUCGAAUCAUUUUGAAUUUCUUGUUCAAAUUUCAAUUAAGAUAUCCUAGGUUUACCCGUUUUCAAAUAAUAUUUUAGCGAUUCAAAAUAAGGUUGUCGAAAGUUACUCAUGCGUAAUUUGGAGACCUUAUGAUCAUAUUUCCAGCAAUUUAUAGAAACUAGCUCCAAGUUCUCAUCCGUUUUCAUAUUGACAAAGAGAAUGGCCGCACAAGUGCUAAGGGCUCAAGGUUAUCUCUUGUCCUUGUUUGAUUCCAGACGGGGUUUACGCACCUAUUUCUGAACAUACUCUUCCUGACCUUCCAAUGGUGAACAAGUCAAAUCUUACAAUAUAUGUUAAAUAUAUUGUGCUAUAGAAAGAUUUUUUUUCCUCUCUGAAAUGAUGGAGAGAGGGAUGUUAAGGCUAGGGUUGACGCAAUGAACGGUGAGGAUUAGAUAAGGAGAAUGUGGAUGACUUGUGUUCUUUAGUCAAUGGAGGGUUGACAUGUGCAACGAAGGGUAUUAAACGGCGGCACUUAGGCUAGUAGAGAAGAAGACUUGGUCCAAGAUCAUGCUAGAUCUUUACAACUUCUCAGAAUCAGUCCAUUCCAAAUUCAAGUUUGAUGUUUGUUUUAUUUAUAGGACCAGGAAUAAAUCAUGAUAUUCUUAAAGCAUAACCAAAUAUAUAUAUAUAUAUAUAUAUAUAUAAGUAGGUUUAGAUUUAAAAUUUAUUGAAUUUAAAUGAUAAGUAACAUUUUGUAGUUUUACUCCUUUUAUUCUUGCUAUAGCCACCAAAAAAUUGAAACAUAAUGACAAAAUAUUCUAUUAUCGACUAAACACCAUUCCAUUAGUCAUUUAUAUUGCCAACAGAGUUACCAACAAAAAUAUAUUGCCAAUCAAAAUUUUGUUGCAUAUUUGUUAUUUGUCAACGCUACAAAUUAUAGACAAAAAUACCAAUGAAAUAUUGGCUCAAAAUAAAAUAAAAUGCACUGACUAGAUUUUAUCGAUCAUUCUAUCAGUAAAUCAAUUACCAAUGAAAUAUUCAGUUGCAAAUUCCAUCGGUGAAAUAUAACUAUUGCUAACAAAUUAAGCGACAAUAUUGGCAAAACAAUAUUCAUCAUUACACUCUAUCGGAGAUUCUAAAACUUCUUAAUCAUUCUGUAACUUUAUGAUGAAAUAGGGUUUUUAUUGUAGAUGGAAUCACUGAUGAUAUUUUUUUGUCUGUAAGUGAAUCCAUCAGAAAAUUACAAUUUGUUUUUAUAUAAGUAACAUUUUGUAGUUUUAUUCCUUUUAUUCUUGCUAUAGCCACCAAAAAAUUGAAACAUAAUGACAAAAUAUUCUAUUAUCGACUAAACACCAUUCCAUUAGUCAUUUAUAUUGCCAACAGAGUUACCAACAAAAACAUGUUGCCAAUCAAAAUUUUGUUGCCUAUUUGUUAUUUGUCGACGCUACAAAUUAUAGACAAAAAUACCAAUGAAAUAUUGGCUCAAAAUAAAAUAAAAUGCACUGACUAGAUUUUAUCGAUCAUUCUAUCAGUAAAUCAAUUACCAAUGAAAUAUUCAGUUGCAAAUUCCAUCGGUGAAAUAUAACUAUUGCUAACAAAUUAAGCGACAAUAUUGGCAAAAAAAUAUUCAUCAUUACACUCUAUCGGAGAUUCUAAAACUUCUUAAUCAUUCUGUAACUUUAUGAUGAAAUAGGGUUUUUAUUGUAGAUGGAAUCACUGAUGAUAUUUUUUUGUCUGUAAGUGAAUCCAUCAGAAAAUUACAAUUUGUUUUUAUAUAAGUAACAUUUUGUAGUUUUAUUCCUUUUAUUCUUGCUAUAGCAACCAAAAAAUUGAAACAUAAUGACAAAAUAUUCUAUUAUCGACUAAACACCAUUCCAUUAGUCAUUUAUAUUGCCAACAGAGUUACCAACAAAAACAUGUUGCCAAUCAAAAUUUUGUUGCAUAUUUGUUAUUUGUCGACGCUACAAAUGAUAGACAAAAAUACCAAUGAAAUAUUGGCUCAAAAUAAAAUAAAAUGCACUGACUAGAUUUUUUCGAUCAUUCUAUCAGUAAAUCAAUUACCAAUGAAAUAUUCAGUUGCAAAUUCCAUCGGUGAAAUAUAACUAUUGCUAACAAAUUAAGCGACAAUAUUGGAAAACAAAUAUUCAUCAUUACACUCUAUCGGAGAUUCUAAAACUUCUUAAUCAUUCUGUAACUUUAUGAUGAAAUAGGGUUUUUAUUGUAGAUGGAAUCACUGAUGAUAUUUUUUGUCUGUAAGUGAAUCCAUCAGAAAAUUACAAUUUGUUUUUAUAUAAGUAACAUUUUGUAGUUUUAUUCCUUUUAUUCUUGCUAUAGCCACCAAAAAAUUGAAACAUAAUGACAAAAUAUUCUAUUAUCGACUAAACACCAUUUCAUUAGUUAUUUAUAUUGCCAACAGAGUUACCAACAAAAACAUGUUGCCAAUCAAAAAUUUGUUGCAUAUUUGUUAUUUGUCGACGCUACAAAUUAUAGACAAAAAUACCAAAGAAAUAUUGUCUCAAAAUAAAAUAAAAUGCAGUGACUAGAUUUUGUCGAUCAUUCUAUCAGUAAAUCAAUUAUCAAUGAAAUAUUCAGUUGCAAAUUCCAUCGGUGAAAUAUAACUAUUGCUAACAAAUUAAGCGACAAUAUUGGCAAAAAAAAUAUUCAUCAUUACACUCUAUCGGAGAUUCUAAAAUUUCUUAAUCAUUCUGUAACUUUAUGAUGAAAUAGGGUUUUUAUUGUAGAUGGAAUCACUGAUGAUAUUUUUUGUCUGUAAGUGAAUCCAUCAGAAAAUUACAAAUUUUUUUUAUAUAAUUGUUAAAUUAAAAACCAAUAAAAAUCACAAAUAAAACCAAAUAUUAUUAAUUUUAUUGAACAUCAAAAUUUUAUUAAUUUUAAUUUUACAACAAUAUAUACACCGCUACACAGAUGGAGGUGGAGGGAAAUAAAAUCAUGAGCCAAAAGAACUAGAAUGAGGAGCAUGAUAAUGUUAGAAUCUCUUAAAGAAGAGACUCCAAUUCUACAGCCUAAAGUGGAUGAGCGCCUCGAUUGAUAUUAUGUGAAUUAGGUGUCUCUUCAUCAUCGACACCUAAAUUAAUAACAUGAUUAUGGACAUCACCAACACUAUUAUUGGUUGAAUCAACAACAACAAUAGAUCUCUUUAAACUUUUUCUUAGUAUCUCUAAAUAUUAUAUGAGUUAAUUUUCAAUUUCAAUGUAAUAAAUCUACAUUCUAUGUUGAAUAAUGGAGUACACAUCCCAAAAUAAUCUACAUUUAAAAAACGCACUUUCUAAGUCUAACAAGCUAUUCCAAUUAUUCAAUACUUUAUACCACUACUACUACUAUCAUCAUCAUCAUCAUCAUCAUUAUCAUCUAGGGCUUAAACAUUUAAUAUAACAAUUAUGCUUAGGUUUAUAACAACAACAGUAAUAAAACGAAUUAUAUUAAUUGUAAAAAAAAAUACAUAAAAAAAUCAAAAUAAAUAUUAAAAUUAUAGAAUCACGAUUAAAUUUUAUUAUAAUGCACAACACAAUUGCCAACAACAAUAAUAAUUACUCAAAUUUUAGUAUGUUUAUUGUAGGAAAAAUGCACACACAAUAAUAACAAUAAUAAUUACAAAAAAUUUAAUGCACAACAUAAAAUUAAAAGCAUACACAUGCAAUAAUAAUAUUCUCUUGGCAACUACAAACACUUUAGAGACUGAGAGACUUACCUUAAAGAGAUUGAGGAUGGGCGAUGACGAGAGAGAGAGAGAGAACGGGGGUGGGCGAUGAUGACUUUUUUAGUGAUGAGUGCAUUAAGGAUGGAGAGAGAGAGAGAGAGAAGGUGGUAGAGAGGGUGCGACAACUUUUGGAUAAUUAUAGCAACAAAGAUGAAAAUGGGAGAAAUAACGAUCAAAUUAUAACCUAAAAUCAUCAAUGAAAUUUUCAUUGUCGAUUCCGUCAACAUGUUAACAUAUGUCGACAUAAUCACUAAUGGAUAUUUAAUUAUUAUUUUUUAAUAUUUUUCAAUUACGUUGGCAAUUUUGUCGCCAUUUCUAAAACCUAUAAGACAUUUUUGACAAAAUCACAUUUAUUAGUGAUUCCAUCACCAUUUCUUAAACCUCCUAGGAUUUUUCAAUAAAACUGCACAUCCAUUGCUAAAACCUUUUGGAAUGUUUGAUGAAAUUGCAUGUCUAUUGGUGAUUUCUUCACCGUGGACAAUUCCAUCGACAAUUCCAUCACUAUUUGUUUUUUAAAAAAAUUUAUUGUUAUAAUAUCUUAGCCAACCUAAAUACACAAUAACAACAAUACCAAGCAUUUUAAAGCCAACAAUUGCCAACAUUAAACCCAAAACCACAACAAAUAUAAAAAAUACAAUGCAUUAUAGAGUUGCAACAAAUUUAUAUGAUGAUUGUAUUACAUCUAAAUCAAUGUAAUAUCGUUUAAUUAGAAUCCUCCUUUUCAUUUUUAUCAUCUUCUUUGUUGAAUCCAAAGCUUGUUGAUCUCAUCAUUUUCCUCUACUUCAUUAUGUCUACUAAUACUCAAAAUAUCAUUUCAAUCGUCAACAUCAAUAUAAGUAUUCUCAACAACAUGAAAAUUUAUAUUUUCUAACUUGGUAGAAGAAGCAACUCGAUAUAAAUUAAUUAUAUCAUCUAUUUGACAUACAUCAUCUCACUUAGAUACUUCAUUGUUAUCAUCUUCAAUUACUUUAUCUUUAGCACAACUGCUAAGUUUAGUUUUCACAAUGAAAAACCAAUCAACUCUAUUAUGAUCAUUUUCAAAUAAAGGAGUGUAUGUAUAAUACACUUGUUCCCAUUGUUUAGAAAAAAAAAUAAAAACAUCAUUGAUGUUGCAUAAUUGUUCUCUUUUAUUUACUUUGACCAUACCAUGUCGAGGAUCUACGCUAAUUCCUCUAUCGAUACCAUACAACUAGCAUUUUUAAAUAAAGCUAUUAUAUAUUGUUCACUAUGAUAUCACAAUUCAAUAACCUUUUAUAACAUGCCAUAAUAACUGACUUCAAUUUUAUUGGAAGUUGAACCCUUGACACAAACCCCAAUAUUUGACUAUCUCCAAUGAGAGAUGCUAUUUAGAAGAGCCAAAUUGGUAAUAUGACUUUUUAAAUAGUGUAAAUAUAGUUUUUUCUUUUCUUUUUUUGCGUAUGUGCACUCCAAUUGUAAAAAAACCAUUUAGAAGAGAAAAUUGUAUUUUAAUAUAUUUGAUACACAACUAUUUUAACAACAUAAUAUGAUUCAGUUGACUUGACAAGUCUAAAAAUAACCCGAACAAUUCUCAAUCAACUCAAUAUUAAAGAAUGAAAUUGAAAAGAAAAGAAAAAACAAAAAAUAACUAGAGUAAAUCUAGGUAAACUCGUAAAAAUCAUGAUACGGAUCAUGAGAUCAUGAUAAUCUCAUAAAAAACAAAGUAAAAAAAAUAGAUGUAAAAAAAAAUCAAAGAAAAAAAACUAGUACAAAACAAAUAUUAUUACAAUGAAUAGUGAUCUAGCAUUUUUGCAAGAUAUGUAGGAAUAAUAGUUUUUUUAGAGAAAUGCUAUAAAAAAAAAUUAGCACUCUCUUUAGAGCAUGUAAAAUAAACAUUAAAAAGCAUAUAUAUAUAUAUAUAUAUAUAUUAUGUCCUUCCUUUUAACAUCUCUAUUGGAGAUGCUCUUAUAUGUUUUUUGACCCUCACCUUACUCUAGUAUGAAAGAUAUAUUCAUUGAUGAAUUAUCCAUUAUAACACUAACCUUUCUUUGAGGACCUAGAGAAAGGAAUUUCAGUUGACCAGCAUUGUAUCUGAUUUGAAAGCCUAGUUAACGUUAAUUAAUGACCAUUAAUGGUUAGAGUCAUAACAUAAAUAAAUCUUUUCUUAUGAGUUAUGAAUUAUUAAAUACUUACAUGUAUUUUAAACCACAUGAAUAAAUUUUCAUCAUGUAAUUGGAAAGUUCGAGCUUCAAUUUCCAUGGCCUAACCUCUUAGUCAUAAAAAUAACCUUAACAUCUUCACAUUUUUACUAAACAAAAGGAAAACUUAUAGUUGUUGAAGUGUUAAAUUUGUUUUUUUCCAACAGACACCAAUUAUAGAAAUUGCAAUAAAAUAUCACUCUUGAUCACAAUGAUCAAGAUAUCAAAUGUAUUUAAUUGUUUCUUCCCUCAUUCAUACAACAUAAUCCUAAGAGAAUUCCAAGGGUUAGAUUUCAGGUAUAAAGGAAUGAGGGGCAUUGAUGUAAUUGCAUAACCAAUUGACAAGUAUAAAUAUUGUAAUUAUUGUAAGAUUUAUGUUUUAAUGUGUAAUUAUUGUAAUUAGCUUUGAUUUUGGUUUUGUUAAGGUUUAGGGUUUUGAAUUUUAUGUUUUAGGGUUAGAUUUAUGCAUUAAUUGAAGUGUUAUAGGUUAAGUUUUAUGUGUUAAACUGUUAUGGGUUGAAUAUGUUGGGUUUUAAGUUAGAAUUUAAAAUGUGUCAAUAUUAGGAGACUAGUGGAUUAGGAAUUUAAAAUCCUGAUCAACUGGUUGACCAGUAGGCUUAUUAACUUUAAUCGAUUGGUUGGUGAAUUUCGUUUGAUUUGCCUGACUAGGUUCGGUCAACUUAUUGGUAGAUUUUGGUCGACCAGUUGAUCAAACACUGAGGGUUGAUCGGUUCUUUUUGGCUCAAAAGUUUAGUAAAUGUUUGAGAUUGGUCAGGUAUAUCUGUUUCGCUUUUAUAUUUAUGUUUGUUCUCAAAUCUUAUAGAUGUAAUCUCUUAUGUUUUUUGUUUUGAGUCAUUUUUUAGUACAUUUGCUUUUAUAUUUAGAUACUCUUAAUACUCUACCUAUUGGGUAUCAAUAGGACUUCCAUCGAUAUCUGUUUUUGAAUCCUAACUACUUUUGAGUCAAGUGAGUGGAUAAUAUUCCAUAUGCUAAAAGAGUAGUAUAAAUAUUUUAAUUAUUAAUAUAAAAUUGAUCAUGCUUCUUGGUAAUUUAUAUAUUGCUUAUUAUCACUUGUCUAUGAUAAAACAUGAUCAAUGAUGGUUCAUUAAUGUCCAUUGAUUUAGACUCCUUCCCCCUUCCCAACUACGAAUAAGAUCGAGAGGAGCCCGAAAGAAAGCCCCCCAACCAAGAACGGAAACGGAAGCCUUUCUAUUCAUUCCCCAUUCUCUCUUAAAUAAAGCUCGCCCUCGAGCUUCAAUUUUAAUAUAAAUAAAGGGCAGGUCGGCCGGGUCUUUCCCUGUUGUUCUGUUUCCGCCACGAGAAAGACGCACGGAAGAGGUAUGCCCAAACAAAAUGAGAAAAAAAAGGAGAGGCCUUCGCAUUCCUAAUCCGGUAGGGCCGGCCGGCUUUGUUUGCCCCGGCUUGGCGAAUCGCAUCCCCGCGCAACGACAUUCUUUGUGCGCCCCGUCACCGUUCUCGCUCAGUGUUUGCAACGGCUGGGGAGGCAGUCGUAGAAGCGAAGCCUAUCGCCGAGCCGACCAAAAAAUACGAAAUUGGGCCCCUUCUAUGAAAUUGGAUGGAAUGGUCCAGCCUUUUCAGACUAAUUUCUUGAUAUGAGCAAUUGUGUUCUUCUGAAUUGACAACUUCUCAUUUGAUUGAUUGUAUGGGUUGAGCUUUUAAGAAAUGAUUAUGUUUUAUUUAAUUAUGACCCUAUGACAUACUAGUCAGAAUACUCAUGCUAACACGGUAGUGUUACUCUUUGUGCACAUCAUAGUUCUGAACCUUAGUUAGUCAAUAGAGUCACCAAAUUAUGGCGACCAAUUGUCUUAUAUUUUGGAGCUUCAUGCUCCUUACAUUUUGAUUUUCUAACAAACCAUAUGAUAUUUCUUUUUAUGAUCUCUUUGUAAAACUCUUUGAUAAAAGCAUAAGCCAAGCUUGUGUAUAGAUAUUUCUCAUUAAUGUCUUACCUUAUAUGUGUAUAUUAAACGUUAUCUACUCAAUGAGUUGUUUAACUCAUCCUCUUGUUAUUUAUUAUUUUUAGGCUUAUAGCUUUGUUAAUAGGUCGCUUUUGUGGACUUUUAGAACCUGCUCUUUGUUGCAAUUAACAUUAUUUCGUUAUGUCUAGUUAGAGCUCUACAAUUACAUAAUUUGCAUUAACUUUUGUAUAAAGAUGUUGAUUUAUAUUGUUAUCAUUGUUUCGUUACUCUAAUUGAGUUAAUAUAAAGAGAAGUUUGUAUGUAUGCUUAGAUUUGCAUACGUAAAGAACCUGGUGGGGGCCUUGUUUAUGUAUCGGUCAUGAAUCCAAGGUUUGGAUCAUGAUAAUUGGCUUCCUAAAAAAAGCAUGAUUUAUAAUCAAUUAUAUAAAAAAGAGUGUUCUAUUAUUAAGACUCGUCUAAUUAGUUUUCAUUUACUAGAAAUGUACUUUUUAUCACGUAAGGUGCUUUCGGUCUAAUAAUCCAAGUUACAGGUUUAAAAAAUUAAUGUUUGUUAAUAAUUUUUUUGUCUACUUAUAUUCUUUUUUUAUUUUAUUAUUUGACAUUGAUUUUUUUUUAAAUAGGCUUUAUAAUUUUCUUUGUUUUUUUUUUUUCUAUUAGAUUAUUUUAUUUUCAUGAAUUAUAAAUUUAAUAUAUUAUCCUGGGUGAACUCAAUCCUUUUCCGACCCCCGGCAGUGCAGGUCGACAUUAGAGCAACAACUAUUUGAAGGAUUUUUUUUUUUUUUUUAUCCAACUGGUAAAGUUAUGUUAGAGUUAGUUUAUACAUUAACUGACGCUAAAUCUUAUAAAUCUUUUCUCGAGAAAUCUUAAGAACAUAUCAUCUGUAUCCAUCCUAGUAUAUUUAAUAAAUUUCAGUAAAUGUUUGUCUUAAAAUUUGGAGCAGAACAAAUAGGUUGAGUUGCUAUAUGAAGUAGUGAAAUAGUAAUAAUAAUAUGACAGACUUCUACUCUUUCUCCAUUGAUCAAUGAAUUAAUUCAUUCAUAAAAAAAGAUAAAUUCAUGUAGGUGCGAUAGAUCUAUGGGUCAACUUCAGUGAGUUGUUAAGCUUUUACUCCCUACCCCCACUUGUACUGCUGUUCAUGCCAUAUAAGGCUAUUUCCACUACUCUACAAGCUUGAUAAUAAUGGAGAUCACAAUGCGUCCAGGCCUGAUUAAUUCAUUUACUAGCAUUACAAUGCUUUUGGUUUGCAUCUUCUUAGUCUUUUUAUCACUAGCCUUUGCUGCACAAGACAAUAUCAUUUCCAAUGAAUCCAUUAAAGAAGGCGAGAGUCUAGUUUCAGCAAAAAGAACUUUUGAACUGGGUUUUUUUAGCCCAGGAAAUUCAAUGAAUCGAUUUUUGGGAGUAUGGUUCAUGAAUGAAUUGUCAGCUCAUAAAGAAGUUAUUUGGGUUGCCAAUAGAGAAAUUCCGCUUACGGAUCGUUCUGGAUUUCUAAAUUUCACCCAGCAAGGAGUUUUGCUUCUUCUCAACGGAAACAAUGAAAUAAUUUGGUCAUCCAACAAAACAACAAAUGUUGAGAGUCCAGUUAUGCAGCUAUUGGAUUCAGGAAAUCUAGUUGUAGGAGAUGGGAAGGAUAGUAACUUCAUUUUAUGGCAGAGUUUUGAAUAUCCUUGUGAUACGUUUCUACCAGGAAUGAUGAUCGGAGGGAAUUCACAAACUGGUGUGGAUAGAAACCUGACAUCAUGGAAGAGCGCAGACGAUCCUGGUCCAGGCCAAUUUUCAUUUGGGAUAGAUCGUCAGGGGUUUCCACAGCUAGUCGUCAGGAAUGGAACUUUGAAGCACUAUAGGCUGGGUUCAUGGAAUGGAAAAAGUUUCACCGGGACUCCUGAUCUGCCUCGAGAUCAGUUCUUGAAGUAUGAUUUUAUUUUGAACAAGACUCAUGUAGAUUAUAGUUAUGAAAUCCUGAAACCGGGUGCAUUGUUGACGAGGUUAAUUGUGAAUCAGUCAGGAUUCGUGGAACGCUUUAUCCGUGCAAUUCAAACUAAUGGUUGGACACCAAUAUAUUCGGCACCAAGAGAUCUCUGUGACAAAUAUUCAGUAUGUGGUGCACAUAUGAUUUGCAAAAUGGUCGAUCAAUCCCACAAUUGUACUUGCUUGGAAGGAUUUGAACCCAAAUCUCUUACAGAUUGGAGUGAAGGGUGUGCUAGAAGGAGUCCAUUGAAUUGCACACAGGACAUCUUUCAGAUUUUUACAGGGCUUAAGUUGCCGGAUACAUCCCUUUCCUGGUAUGAUACAAGCAUGAGUCUAGUAGAAUGCAAGGACAAGUGUCUAAAAAACUGCAGUUGCACGGCAUAUGCAAAUUCAAAUAUCACAGGAGAAGGCAGUGGCUGCAUACUCUGGUUUGGUGAAUUGGUUGAUAUCAGAGAGUUCAGUCCAGGGGGCCAAGACCUCUACAUAAGGAUGCCACCACCUUUGAAAACAGGUAUUUAUCAAUAUUCUUCCCAUGAUUCUCAAGCAGGGUAUUUUUUUCACUCUUUCUCUCUGUUUCUUUUUCUUUUUCCUUUUGAAAUGAAGAAGUUGUAUGUUCCUUAAAUGUUUUCCUAACUUCGUGUCCUCAUUUCCUCAUUCUAUUUACAAAUAAAACAGAACUCCUUUCUCUGUUUAUUGUGGGUUUUCAGAUCAGACGACGUCAAACACAAAUUCUGGUAGGAAGAAGCUUUUAGGAAUCAUACUCGGUUCCACAGUCCUUGCUGGAGUGCUAACGGUAGGACUAACCUUCUAUAUAUGGAGAAAGAAGCAGAGA